UCAGUUCCCAAAAUCUCUAGCCAACUGCAGAAUGUUAGAGGUGUUAAACCUGGGAAACAAUCAGAUAACAGAUGUCUUUCCAUGCUUAUUGAAGAACAUAUCCAGCUUGCGUGUACUUGUCUUGCGUUUCAACAAAUUUUAUGAUAGCAUUGAAUGCCUUAAGACUAAAAGUGCCUGGCCAAAGCUUCAAAUUGUUGACAUAGCUCGCAACAAUUUUACUGGCGAAAUACCAGGAAGUUUUUUGAAAACGUGGCAAGCAAUGAUGGCUGACAAAGAUGGUGCCGUGUCAAAGCAAUUUCAAGUUGUAGACCUCGGCCAGGUGUACUAUCAGGAUACUGUAACAGUUACCACCAAAGGUCUAGAGAUGGAAUUUAUAAAGAUCUUAACAGUCCUCACCUUAAUUGACAUGUCCUGCAACAAUUUUAAUGGAUCAAUACCUGAGGAAGUGGGAAAGCUCAAAUCACUUUAUGGCCUAAACUUGUCCAGUAAUGCUCUCACAUGCGCAAUCCCAUCAUCACUAGGUAAUCUACGACAGCUUGAGUCCUUAGACCUUUCGGACAACAAAUUGAGCGGAACAAUUCCAUCAGAAUUUUCCAAACUUAAUUUCCUCUCAUUCCUAAAUCUGUCGAGUAAUCAACUUGUCGGGAAGAUUCCAACCGGCACUCAGAUUCAGUCUUUUUCACCAGAUUCUUUCACAUGCAAUAAAGGAUUAUAUGGGCCACCGUUAGAUGACGGAUCACCAAGGUUGCCACCAACAUUAGAAGGCAAACAUUCUAAUUCUGCGCACAGAAUUGAUUGGGAUCUUAUCAGUGUUGAAGUUGGAUUUAUUGUUGGCUUUGGAGUUGCGGUCGGGUCACUUGUGUUGUGCAAGAGAUGGAGUAAAUGGUAUUACAAAACAAUGUAUAAAAUCCUUGUUAAGAUAUUCCCUCAGCUUGAAGAGAGAAUUGGUCCUCACUGAAGACAUGUCCACAUAAAUCAGAGGUUCAGACGCUGAAGUUAAUGGUCAUGGGGACCAAUGCAGCUGGACCUCAAGCUAUGCCUGGGGAAUUUGAGAUCCAACAAAUAAGAGGUUUUCUUUUUGGUUUUACCUUUUAAAUUUGUGUAUGUUAUAGUUAUAUGUGUAAUAGUUUAUUGUGUAUCUUUAUCCUUUGUUUUCAAUAAACUUCCUCGUACCGUCGAGGUUCUUGAAGUUAGCGUAAUUUGAUAUACCCAAAAGAAUGUACUACAUGUAAUGUAUUAUUUGUUCGAAUUGUGUAGUACGAUGUCGAGACCAACUCCACCCAAAAGAGUGUACUACAAAGAACAUCUUGACUUCUGAAUUGCGAUAUGUUUUAACAUCUUGCCAUUCAAUUUUAAACUCAUCAUAUCUAGUACUACAACACCUAAUGAUUUAUUUUUCACCUCAAUUUAUAAGAGAGCAAACCAGCGCUUUUUGUUUCAGAAUUUCCUCACCAACUUUUAUGUCUGAGAUCGCACCAAAAGGCAAAAGCCAACCCUCUCAGGUAACAAGAAGAAAUGAAAAACUCAACCGCUUUUACAAAAUCAGCAAACUACGGUUCAAUCAGUAUUCUCCCUUUCAUGUCAGAGUACAAUGAAAUACUCAUUUGCUUUUACAAGAGUUGAGUCACUCGCCCAAUUUCAACUGGUUUUAGGAUGAACCUCAACUUCAAUUAUGGGACAAAAACUUCUAUCGUUUAAGACUUUAAGUUGACAAAUGCGAAGUAUUGAUCACGAUGAUUAGGUCUUCCAUAUUAACACUUAACUACUAAAAGAGAGGAUAAACACUCAAUAGGAUUUGAAUUGGGUGUGUUCAGUUACCCCGAUAAAUCCUCCGUAGAGCAGACUACGACAGUCACAAACCCACGAUACCAUAGUUACAUAUAAUACAUGAGUUUUUCGGAGAAUAUAUUUCUCUUGCUACCCAGAAAAUCAACAUGAGCAUACACAAACCAUUCUGUUUUUCUUCCACCUAUAACCGUAUGUGUAUAUGAUCGACUAUAUAUCGCCUUAGUCAGUCAAAAACUAAAAUAGGAGUAACGUGUAGAUUGCAGAUAUGCCUAUACAACUUCAAAGUGAAUUAGAGUCAAUCAAAUCAUAAACCUGAGUAAAAUUUCUGGUUUGGAAUCUCUGACGUGCAGGGAAUAAGCAAAAUGCACGCAACAAAGCCUCCAUUGUUAAACCUGAAAUAACAACAGUAUAUCAAGUUUAAUUUUCUUUUCAUUGGAAUCCUGAGUAAACAUAAUUCUUUCAAAAAGAUCAGACGCAAAUGCUUAUAUCCUACAGAUUUGUAAUUUCAUAUUGUGAACUAGCACCGCAACAAAAUAUUUACAUGUAUAUUGCAUAGUAUUUCUAAAUGCUUACAAAUUGGUAGGAUUAGCUAUUAUAUUGCAGUGUAAACCUCCUUCUGAAUGAAUGAAGCCGAGUGGUAUCUCCCACAAAUGUGAAGAACUUGUUGGAAUCAAUGCUUUUCUCUGAAACUUUAGCCCUUACCAAAGACAAAAUCUUCGAUUAAUGACUCAAGUCCACUAAAACAAGUCUAGAAUUUCCAAGCUUAUUCCUAAAUUCUAUAGCUUUAUCAACAAUAAUAUCAGAUGCCUUUGCAAGGUCAAAUUGAAAAUCUGCUGUUGAAAUGAAAGGAAAUGCUAGAGUGGAAACAUCGUUUAGAGAACCAUCACCGCUAACAGAGCCUACAGCUAGCUCUUCACCUUCCUUUGACUCCUUACCAGAUUUUUCAGAAAGUGAACCUGUUCCUUUCAAAGAGGUUUCCUUUUCUUCAGUAAUUUGAGAAGCAUUAGAAUCCUGUACACUCUUCGAAGUUGAUUCAGUAUUAGCAGGACCAUCGGUUUUCCUUAAGAACAUUAUACCUAGUUGAAUUUUUGCACCGGGGUUCUUCUGACCGAAAUAACCAUUGGGAAGUGUAUCUAACGGACCAAGUCCACGAAUGCAUCAACAGAAGAUUGAACAUCACUCUCACUCUGGCAAUAAGUAAUUCUAGCAAACCCUUCACUCAGCUAAGGCAAUUCUUUCUUCUGCAGCAUUCUAUUCACAAUCGCCGCAGCUUUCCCGCCUUGCACAUUUCCUUCAUGGCCCGUUCGCUUCACAUACCGCAAUAUACAAAGCUUGGCAGGAAGAUCAAGCACCACAACAUGAACAAACUUGGGAACUACCACCAAGCUUCACAAAAUCAUCCCUUUGUUCUUCCUCUACAUUACACCUAUCUAUAAACACACUCUUCUCAUCCUUCAACGCAUUCAUUGCACUCUCUAUACACUGCCCUUUCGUUCGGGCUUUACCAUUUUUGAUAGUAUCCUACAAAAACAAAAAAUAUGAACAUAUAACAGCAUAAAACAAGAACCCAAAUGAAUAGAAAUCCGGAGUACCAUACUACGUACUGAAAAUAGCAAUCUAGAGCCCACUGCGACAUUUCAUCGAACACACUGUGUCCACAGAGAUAUACCUGGCAAACGCAAACACAAGGGCGAGUGGAGCGCAUGACAUGUUCGCAGAAGGUAGACAUGUUCGCAGAAGGUGAUGCGUAAAAUAACUAAACACACAAAAUUAAACCCUCUUUUUAUCAAUUGUAGUAAAGUAUGUAAGUAGGGAUCGUUCUAGGCCGGGGAUUAGGAGGGAUUGCUAAAUCACUUGGAAACUGACUUGAAAACGUAAAAACAAAGUUUAAAACACUAACUAGACUCAAAGAAUGCAAAACUAUACUUUAAAACACUAAAACAAACCAAAAGACUCAAAACAGCCCCUAAACACUCAAAACUACCUUAAACACACAAUCUGGGCAGUUUUGGGACUCUAACACAAACUUGGACGAAUUUUGGUUUUCUAAUGAACUAAACACUUAAAAACAUAAUCUAAGACAAGUUCUAUUUUAAUAUGACUCAAAGAAAUAAGAUGGGGUUGAUUUUGGACAAAAAUAAUUAAAUUAAGACAAGAACAAAGUAAACGAAUUCUUAGACAAAUUUAAGUGAAUCAAAACAAAUUGUAAAAUGAAUUUGAAUGAAACUUAUGGAUGGAAGGCUAGCUAGGAGGUUCUUCUCCACACAUGUCACACUUGCAUACAAAACGAUUUCCAGUUGCUUUUCGAUAAGCUAUGAAUACUCAACGCCCCAAAUUAACCGUGAAUUGCACUAAUUAACCCUCAGUUUUUCCACAAGUUAUUAGGUUGGAUGAUCGCAUACGACAACCCAAAACAUUCCCUACAAGUUCCCUACAUGAAUUGCAUAAUAGAGAUACAAGCAAGAAUCAUUAAGUUCUAUGAAAAACAUAAGCAUUGACGAGGCACUCGUUACUAUGAUUUGCAUGAAACUUAUGCCAAGAAUUUACUUAACGUGAUUGUGACUAGCAACCUUCACUACUUGUGAAUAUAAGUUCAUAACGAUUAGGUGAAACUCCCUUAUAUUCUAGCGUCAAAUUCAUGCAUGAAAAUUAAGCGUGCACUCUCAACCAACAUACACAAAUCAGUUUUUAUACGAACGGAUAAGUAAAUUGAAUUCACAACUUAUGAAUCACAACUGGAUGUAAUCAAAUCAUAUUGCAAGUAUGAACAUAGUUUCGAAUCACCCCUAACUAAGAGGGGUUUAGUUCCUCAUACUCACAAAACAAAGAUACAUAAAAUUAGACAUUAAAAUCAAAGGAAAGAAAACACCUAAAAUGCUCCAACUUGGUAGCAAGUGCAUCCAAGAUUCCUCCUUUCCCUAUGCUUGCGGCAGAUUGGGUUAUGGACAGAUUUUGGGUAGUUUUAUGAUGUAGAAUGGAUGGGGAAUGGUAUGGAAGGGUUUAGGGUGAGUGUGGAGGAGUGUUUGAGGGUUGGAGGGUGGUGGAGAACUAGGCAAAGAGGGUGGAAGAAGGUGGAGUGGCUGUUAUGUUUUCUAGGCACUAGAAUGGUGUUUUUUGGGGUGUUUUGCUUCCUAGGGUGUGUAUGGACGAAUUUUUGUGAUAAAAUGAUGAAUAUGGGGGAUUGUUCUUUGGCCAAGGGGUGUAAACAUGUAUUUAUAGGCCCCCAAAAACCUUAGAAAAUCAGGUUAGGUUAAGGAUGAAAUGCAUGGCAAUUUGUGUGUGUGGUGUGCAAUGGUCCAAGGGUGAAAAUGAAGUAAUGAUGCAAAGUGUGAAGGGUAAAAUGGAGUGGUGUUGUAGCUAGGGAGCAUGAAUGAUUGUGUACAUUGCAUAGAGAUGGAAAGGGAGGUGAAAUGUGUCAACAAAUGGGUCAAAGGUGCAACAACAUGUGUUACACAUGGCAUUGGAUUCCAAAUGUGAAUGAUGGAGCAUCAAUUGGUGCAUGUAAUGGAUGUAAAUGUUGUCUAAAAUCUAAUGAGUGAAGGGAACAAGAGGUAUCAAGCAAUUGAGUGUAAUAAUUAAAUAAAUUGAAGCAUGAAAUUAGAAAUUAUGUAGGGGACAAGAGUGAUUAAGCAUGGCAUGGAAUCCAAAGGGAAUUCUAUGUGGUUUGCAUGGCAAGGAAUGCAAGUUGGGGUGACAGAUUUUUGGGCUGUUUUCUUCAUCUUUUGGACCAUAAUUCUUCAUAUUCUUGGCCUCUUUAGUUCUCAAAUUCGUCCAUCCACUUGGCCCAUGCAUUUGACAUCCAUUCCAAGCCCCAUUUUGCUCCAAAAUGCAUCUUCUUGCCUACUUUGUCCAUAAAAUCUGAAAACACACGAAAAUGACUUUAAACAUUAAAAUAACUAAGGAAACACGACAUAAAUGCACAAUAACAAGCCAACUAAGUCGCAUAAAUAUGCUCCUAUCAGAAGGUAGACAUGCCGCUUCCAGGCCCACCUACCAAUAUUACUACGACAGGCUUUCCUUGUUUUUCUUCCCCCGUCAAAAACGCAUACAGGUUUUAUGAUCACCGAAGGCGGCGACGACCGAGAAUGGUAAAACGCGGCGUUUUGGAGAAAGGGCAUACCUUUGACUGUUUCGUCGAUGUCCAUGUCCAUGUUUUGGAAGACUCUGCGAGGCACUUUUGAAUUAACAGCGGAAAAGCAACGGUUUCUUCUUCCACUGGGCUGGAAGCCUGAAGCUUCUAUUGCCGGUGCCUGGUGCUUGCGUAAUGGGACACAUGUCACACAUCGUCGACCCGAAAAUUGACAAGAUCCGAUUCGAUUUGGAUUUUAUCCGUAUUUUAGCCUUCUCGCAAGUGCUAAUGCGUAAAUGAGAAGUAUUUUAUAAUCACGGGCCUUACGAGCGCCCUUUAAAGAUGGGUUUGCUUUAAUUAUUGUUCUAAUUGUUUAACAUUGUUAUUUCGUAAGAAAUUUGCGAGGGCAUUUUCUUAUGAUAUUAGGUAUUUCAAUCAUCUUCCUGUGAUAAUUUUUUCUAUAAUUAUGUUAAAGCCCUCCGUAUUCCGGUAACCUACAACAUGGUAAAUCUAUAGAAAUUAUAAACUUGAUAAUUACGUUUAUAGCACAAAAGCCUAUACAUACAAUCGUGUUUACUUGGUGUACAAGUAAGGAUCUCUUCAAUUUCUUGAUAGCGAUUUUACCACUUGUAAAACAAAGGGUUAAACCAUAGAAAAUUCUUGCAAGAGAACAAGUGUUUGUAGUAUAGAAUGGCUCAAGCAAUGUCGAUCUCCUCAGGGACUGAUAUAAACAAUUUACGAGUUUUUGUGUAUUUAACUUAUUUAACUUUAAGAAUUACACUAAUUUGACGAAACUAAAUAUUACUGGAUGUGACUUAACCAAAUAUCUAACAUGGGAAUUGGUUUAUAGGAACAGUGAUUCAACUUAAACAAAACAAGUAAAUGAGGAAAUUUAAGAUAAAAUAACUGAUUGAAGAAAAAUAGAUUGACAAUAUGCUAGAGUUCAACCUUUACCAACAACACUCCUACGUAGCUAUUCCAAUUGCUUAAAUAAUUGAAAACACACAUGCUUUGAAGGUUGGAAUUUCCUUGUGUAUGUUUUACUUGUGACAUUCAAGUUAAAACGCAUACCACUACAUGCAACUUAUCCAUGACAUUUGGAUUAAAUAUAAACAUGAGUGAUUCAUUAAUCUUGGUGAAAAUCCUUUUGUUAAACCAUGUAAUCCCUAAGAGCAUGAUAUUUACCUUAGGAGAGUACAAUCCUCAAUCACAAGAAGCACAACCAAUUUUAACAUGACAUUCGUUCAAAAUUGCAUCCGAUAACUUUUUAAGCAUCCUAAUGGUGAUCAAGCAUCAAGGUACAUAGAUAGUUUAAUUCAGUGAUUGAAAAUAUCAAAGCAAGCAUGUAACAACACUUAAGCAAUUGAAAAAUAAAUCUACGUAUUCAUGUUGCGGCUCAUGGCCUCACUCUAACAAAAUAAAUUAGUUACACAUAAUUAUUUGAUACAUAAAAAAUUAUCCAUAAAACAAAAUAACAAAAAAAGAAAACAUCCGUUUUAACAAGACGAGCUCUCUGUUGCUCCUGACUUCCUCUGCUCUGCUGCGCCUCUUCUUCUUUGCUUCUGCUACACCUCUGCUUCUGUGCUCUGCUGCGCCUCUUUCUUUUCCUCCCGUCAGUCUCCCCCCUUUUUACUUUUUCUUUUCUUUUCUUUUCCUCUGGUUCCGUCUGCCCUCUGCUGCGCGUCCUUUCUCUUAUAUUUUUUUCUUCGUCCGUGCUCUGCCUUCCUUUCUCUCUGCCUAUUCUUUUCUUUUGUUUUUCUUCUGCCAGUCCCGCACUCCUCUCUGUCUAUUCUGUCAGUGUCUCCCCUCACUUUUAUUAUCUUGCUUUCCUUUUCUUAUUCCUUCCAUUUUUCUUUGUCUGUGUCCCCCAUUUCCACUAAUCAGCUAUAUGCUUUUCUUUUUCUCCACCACAAAAGCUUAAUGGAAGACAAGUCCACUCUCCACUUGCCGUGUCUUUUAUUUGUUUUUACAAUUUCCUUUUCUCCAUUUUGCUUGAAAUUGAUCUUAAAACAAAUUUAACUACACAUUAACACAAGGUAAAAUAAAAAUGCCACAAUUUUAACACAAAGACUUUAUAAAUAGAUGGUAUAAAUGCAUGAAAUAUAUGAGUGAUCAAAUACCCCCAAACUUGCAUUUUUGCUAGUCCUCUAGUAAAACAAAACACAAAACAAAAACACUCAACUAAAACUAGACUCAACAACUUAGUAGCCAACUUCUAAAUUUCGAUUUCAGAGAUAAGUGCUAAUCAUGAAACAAACAACCAAGAACUAAUCAAGAGUUCAAAACAUCAUCCAAUAAUUAACCAAAUUUCCUUCAAACAAAACGUUGAAAUGCCAUGUGUGAGCUAACCAUGUCAAUGCAAUUCCAAACUCCUUUAAAUCAUCAUAUGCAAACAUGUGAGCUUCUCACAAGACAUACGCUCAUUCACUCAUAAGUUUUGGUUAAUGUGUUUCACUCAAGUGAUCUCAUUGUACAUGCCGCCAUAUGCUUGCUUGUCCACCUAACUCGCUUAUCAAUAUUUAAGUAAUACCUUGGAUAAAUAGGACUUUAUUACGGUUGUAAUGGGGCUAAAGGUGAUAGGCUAAUGAAAGAAAGGAUAUGGAAAUCAAAAAUUUUGAGAAAGUACACUUUGAUAGUUUUCCAACACCUCAAUAUCACACCACCUCAAAUUGAAAGCAAAAUAAUAAAACCUCAAGCACCAGUUACUCCCCAAAUUCAACUUCAAAAAGAAAUUUAUACUCUGCAGACACAUUUUCAACAAAUCAACACUCUCCAAUUUUCAUAUAUUUCGUUUUUUUUUUUUCAAUUGAAAGAAACAAAUCUGCAAAAGCUACAUCACCCAUCAAAUUCACAUUUCAUUGUAAUACACAUGCUCCAUCCAUCUUUCUACAUAAAUGAAACCCCCAAAAGCACAACCCAUGUAAUACUUUAUCAAAACAAUAAGGAAUCGAUUUUUGUGUAUGGGCUCAACUCCAAUAUUGGAGCAAGGUAAAGAGAUGUGGCUAACAAAGAAAUGGCUUAGUUAAAGGCUCAAUGGGCUACUACGGAUAAACAUAGCAUAUAAGGUAGGCAUGAAAGGCUCAAACGAUCCAAAGAUGACCUAUAUCACUUCCAAGUUAUUACAUGAAUUGAUUAAUGAAUCGAGUAGUAUAAAGCAAGUUCUAGAGAUACAUGUACAGUGAGAUCAUACGCACAAGAAGGAAUGAGAUUGAUGCAUAAUGGUUCAAUCAUGUAUAGGCUCAAAAACUCACAAGGUUUACAUAAUCUCACAUGAUUCACAUAUGAAACGCUAAAUCAUGCUCAAGUUUCACAUUGACAAGACUAGGCACAUUUAUUUUUCAAGUUGAUUUCUGGAAAUCACAGUUAACACAAAGACAACGAAAAGAACUUAGACUUCUUGAAAGUAAGAAGGAAAUUAAAAUCAAAUCUCAUCAUUGAAUUGAGAAGUAGCUACAAACAACAAUAAAAAUGCAAAAACUUUUUUUUUUAAUUAUUAUUAUUAUUUUUUAAUUUAAUAAUUUUUUUUUAUUUUUUAUUUUUUAACAAGAAGUAAACUAACGAAAUAUAUUUCCACCCAUAAACUUAAUUAUAGCAUUGUCCCCAAUGAUAAUGAAAGGAAUUUUGAACAAUAAGACAUAAAAAUGGAAGGAAAGAAAUAUAAAAUGAAAUAAAGACACAUAAAGAAAAGGAAAGAACACACCAAUUUGUGUAGGCGAGGAGAACAAAUGUGUGAGUAACCCGUGGGAUUAAGAAACUUUGCAGAAGUUGUGGUAGAGAGUUCCUUGGUUUCAAAUCAGACUCCUUUUGCUGGGUUGAUUUGAUUGUGCAGUCUGCAUUCUUCUCUGCUUGUUUCUUCUGCACCACGGGCAGGCACAAGGUAGCUGUGUUGGUCUGUUUCUUUCUUCAAUCUUUCCAAGUGCCCACCUCUUGCUUUCUUUCUCCUUGUCUCUAGCUGAGGAUGAAUUGGUAAAUUGUCUCCACAUGCUUCGAGGUAUCAUUUUCACUUCCCUUAUCUGUUCCCCAGGCAGAUGUGGUAGACGAAGAGGAAGCAUAAGAUGAUGAAGAUGAGUACUCGAGAGCAAGGCUAGGUAAGCAAUCAGGAAGGGGUUCCAGGCAGUUGGCUCCAGAUCGGAAGAUUGAUACCAAGUGCUGGCUGAUUGCUCUCUUUCUCCUUGUCGUAAAACAAAGACAAGGAGAAUGACAGGGAGAAAGCAUGAUAUGAGAUACUAUUGCUUUCAACCUUCAUGAUAUGAAAUACUUUUUCUUUGGAUGGGUUGUAUGCAGAGGUACCCCAAGGAAUAAGGAACACUGAGUGACUCGAGAGGGUUUGUUGGAAAGGCAUUCUCUGAGAAGAAAAAGGUUAUGUAUGUUUGCCUUGCCAUGGAGGAUGAAUGUCGACAUUUAUAGGAAAUAAUAACCGGUACUGUUCUUUCACUCUUGUCUGCCUUUCCGCUUAAUGAUAUUCAACAACUGAAAAAUCUCGAAAGACUUGAUCUUUCAUACAAUAGCUUGCUAAUUAAUUAUGACAGUCUCAACAACUUCAGUGGGUCAUUUCCUCAACUUUUCACAUUGAAAUUAGCUGCUGGAAAGUUGAGAACCUUUCCUGAUUUCUUGAGAAAUCAAUCAAUAUUAAGCACUUUGGACCUAUCUCUAAACUAGAUCCAUGAAAUACCCAACUGGAUUUGGAGGCUUAGUAAUCUUGGUGAAUUAAAUCUUUCUUGCAACUCUCUGGUAAAUCUACCAGGUCCUUUCCUCAAUCUUACUUCUCAUUUGUCUGUGCUUGACCUUCAUUCCAACCAGAUUCAGGGACCAAUUCCAAUGCUUCCACCAUCUGCCUAUUAUCUGGAUUACUCAAGAAAUAAUUUCAGCUCAAGCAUACCGGCAGACAUUGGUGAUUUCCUUGAUUGGACAGUGUUCUUCUCUCUUGCAAGUAAUCACAUCCACGGGAUCAUUCCAGAAUCAGUAUGCAACGUGACAGUUCUUCUAGUUCCUGAUCUGUCCAAUAAUUCCUUAAGUGGCAUGAUUCUCCAGUGCUUAACUGCAGGGAACAUGUCCCUUGCAGUACUUAAUUUAAGGAGAAACAAACUUUUUGGCACUCUUCCUGAUAAUUUUCCUGAGCACUGUAGUCUACAAACACUGGACCUCAAUGGCAAUGUGAUUGGUGGUCAGUUCCCAAAAUCUCUAGCCAACUGCACAAUGUUAGAGGCGUUAAACCUGGGAAACAAUCAAAUAACAGAUGUCUUUCCAUGCUUAUUGAAGAACAUAUCCAGCUUGCGUGUACUUGUGUUGCGUGUCAACAAAUUUUAUGAUCGCAUUGAAUGCCUCAAGACCAAUAGUGCCUGACCAAAGCUUCAAAUUAUUGACUUAGCUCGCAACAAUUUUACUGGCGAAAUCCCAGGAAGUUUAUUGAAAACGUGGCAAGCAAUGAUGGCUGACGAAGAUGGUGCCGUGUCAAAUAUUAAUUACCUCGGAAAUCUUCUAGACCACGACGCGGCAUACUAUCUGGAUACUGUAGCAGUUACCGUCAAAGGUGGAGAAAGAGAAUUGGUAAAGAUCUUAACAGGCUUCACCUCAAUUGACAUCUCCUGCAACAAUUUUAAUGGAUCAAUACCUGAGGAAGUGGGGAAGCUGGUAUCACUCUAUGCCCUGAACUUGUCCAGUAAUGCUCUCACAUGCGCAAUCCCAUCAUCAUUAGGUAAUCUACGACAACUUGAGUCCUUAGACCUUUCGGACAACAAAUUGAGAGGAACAAUUCCAUCACAACUUUCCAAACUUAAUUUCCUCUCAUUCCUAAAUCUGUCGAGCAAUCAACUUGUCGGGAAGAUUCCAACCGGCACUCAAAUUCAGUCUUUUUCAGCAGAUUCUUUCGCAGGCAAUAAGGGAUUAUAUGGGCCACCGUUAGAUGACGGAUCAGCAAGGUUGCCACCAACAUUCGAAGGCAAACAUUCUACUUCUGCGCACGGAAUUGAUUGGGAUCUGAUUGGUGCUGAAGUUGGAUUUAUUGUUGGCUUUGGAGUUGCGGUCGGGUCACUUGUGCUGUGCAAGAGAUGGAGUAAAUGGUAUUACAAAACAAUGUAUAAAAAUCCUUGUUAAGAUAUUCCCUCAGCUUGAAGAUAGAAUUGGUCCUCACCGAAGACAUGUCCACAUAAAUCAAAGGUUCGGACGCAUAAAUUAAUUAUCAUGGAGACCAAUGCAGCUGGACCUCAAGCUAUGCAUGGGGAACUUGAGAUCCAACAAAUAAGACGUUUGCUUUUUGGUUUUACCUUUUAAAGUUGUGUAUGUUCUAGUUAUAUUUGUAAUAGUUUAUUGUGUUAUCUUUAUGCUUUGUUUUCAAUAAACUUCCUCUUACCAUCGAGGUUCUUGAAGUUAGCGUAAUCUGAUAAACCCAAGAGUGUACUUUAUGUAAUGUAUUAUUUGUUCGAAUUGUGUAGUACGAUGUCCAGACCAACUCCACCCAAAAGUGUACUACAAAGAAAAUCUUGACUUCUGAAUUGCGAUAUGUUUUAACAUCUUGCCAUUCAAUUUUGAACUCAUCAUAUCCAGUACUACAACGCCUAAUGAUUUAUGUUUCAGAAUUUCCUCACCAACUUUUAUGUCUGAGAUCGUACCAAAAGACAAAAGCCAACCCUCUCAGGUAAGAACAAGAAAUGAAAAACUCAACCGCUUAUACAAAAUCAGCAAACCACGGUUCAAUCAGUAUUCUCCCUUUCAUGUCAGAGCACAAUGAAAUACUCAUCUGCUUUUACAAAAGUUGAGUCACUCGCCCAAUUUCAACUGGUUUUAGGAGGAACCUCAACUUCAAUUAUAGGACAAAAACUUCUAUCGUUUAAGACUUUUAGUUGACAAAUGCGAAGUAUUGAUCGCAAUGAUUAGGUCUUCCAUAUUAACACUUAACUACUAAAAGAUAGGAUUAACACUUAAUAGGAAUUGAAUUGGGCGUGUUCAGUCAACCCAAUAAAUUCUCCACACAGCAGACUAAAGUAGGAGUAACAUGUAGCUUGCAGAUAUGCCUAGACUACUUCAAAGUGAAUUAGAGUUGAUCUAAUCAUAAACCUGAGUAAUGCACUGCAAAUUUCUGGUUUGGAAUCUCUGACGCUCAGAGAAUAAGCAAAAUGCAUGCAACAAAGCCUCCAUCGUUAAACCUGAAAAAACAACAGUAUGUCAAGUUAUUCUUUUCAUUGGAAUCCUGGGUAAACAUAAUUCUUUCAAAAAGAUCGGAUGCAAAUGCCAAUAUCUUACAGAUUUGUAAUUUCAUAUUGUGAACUAGCACCGCAAUAAAAUAUUUACAUGUAAAUUGCGUAGUGUUUCUAAAUGCUUACCAAUUGGUAGCAUUAGCUAUUAUUGCAGUGUAAACCUCCUUCUAAAUGAAUGAAGCCAGGUGAUAUCUCGCACAAAUGUGAAGAACUUGUUGGAAUCAAUGCUUUUCUCUGAAGCUUUAGCCCUUACCAAAGACAAAAUCUUCGAUUAAUGACUCAAGUCCACAAAAACAAGUCUAGAAUUUCCAAGCUUAUUCCUAAAUUCUAUAACUUUUCUCAACAAUAUUAUCAGAUGCCUUUGCAAGGUCAAAUUGAAAAUCUGUUUUGAAAUGGAAUAAAAUGCCAGAGUGGAAGCAUCGUUUAGAGAACCGUCAUCGCCAACAGAGCCUACAACUAGCUCUUCACCUUCCUUUGACUCCUUACCAGAUUUUUCAGAAAGAGGUUUCCUUUUCUUCAGUAAUUUGAAAAGCAUUAGAAUCCGGUACACUCUUCGAAGUUGAUUCACUAUUGGCAGAACCAUCUGUUUUCUUUAAGAGCUUCAUUAUACCUAGUUGAAUUUUUGCACCGGGGUCAUUCUUCUCAGAAAUUGAAAUAUACUCCAUUAUUAUUUGUUUACAAGAUGGAAGUCCUCUCUUAUAGAGGGCCAAAAACUAGUCCUAACAAGUGGACAAGCCAAAUGAUGAUUACAUGAGGAAAACAUCGAAAAGGAAAAUACGGAGAAAAGGAAAGCAAAGCAAAGUAAUGAUGACUAGCUAUAAAGCAAAGUAAUGAUGGAUAGCUAUAAAGUAAAGUAAUGAUGGCUAGCUAGAGGAAUAAUUACAAGUCUAUUGUCUAUACCAAUAAUGUCUACCAACUAUUGUUGACACUCCCCCUCAAGUUGGUGCGUAGAUGUCAUGAAUGUCCAACUUGCUUUGUGAGUUGUGAAAUACUGAACUUGUGACUGCUUUUGUGAGUAUGUCUGCUAAUUGAUCUUCAGAUUUAACGAAUGGAACUUCAAUAAGUCUUGCCUUAAUUUUUUUCUUUAAUAAAAUGUCUAUCCACCUCCACAUGUCUGGUUCGAUCAUGUUGAACCAGAUUGUGAGCAAUGUCAAUUGCAGCCUUAUUGUCACAAUGUAGACGCAUAGCAUGCUUGGGCCUAAAUCCCAAAUCUCUCAGUAAAUUCUUCACCCAAAGCAGUUCACAUACUCAUGUGCCAUGCUUCGAUAUUCUGCUUCAGCACUUGAUCUAGCAACAACCUUUUGUUUCUUAUUACGCCAAGAGACUAGAUUUCCUCCAACAAUAACAAAGUAUCCUGAUGUUGAUCGUUUGUUAGUUACAUCACCAGCCCAAUCAGCAUCAGUGUAGCCCUUAACCUCAAGAUGAUCAUGUUUUGAAAACAUUAAUCAUUUCCCAGGAGCUAACUUUAAAUACCUCAAGAUACGGUUUACAGCAUCCAUGUGUGUUUCACUUGGUAAAUGCAUAAACUGGCUUACCAUGCUGACUGCAUAUCUUAUAUCUGGUCUAGUAUGUGCAAGAUAUAUUAGCUUACCAACAAUUCGUUGAUAUCUCUCUUUGUUGAUAGGUAUCUGAUCAGGAUAUUCACCAAGUUUGUGAUUCAGCUCAAUUGGGGUAUCUGCUGGUUUGCAUGCUAGCAUCCUAAUUUCCGUCAAAAUAUCAAGAACAUAUUUCCGUUGUGAUAGAAAUAUUCCUUGUUGUGAGCGGGCCACCUCAAUGCCCAAGAAAUACUUUAAAGCAUCGAGAUUUUUCAUCUCAAAUUCACUUGCUAGAUACUUUUGUAGUGUUGCCUUCUCUUCUGGAUCAUUUCCUGUAAUCACCAUGUCAUCCACGUAUACAAUAAGAGCAGUGAUUUUACCUUUCUUAUGCUUUAAGAAAAGAGUAUGAUCUGAGUUGCUUUGCUUGUAUCUGAAAAAUUUCAUCGAUUUGGUAAAUCUCCCAAACCAAGCUCUCGGUGAUUGCUUUAAACCAUACAACGACUUUUUUAGUUUACAAACGUUGUUGGUUUGAUUAGGAUCCAGCUUGCAUCCUGAGGGAAGCUCCAUAUAAACUUCUUCUUCUAAAUCUCUAUGCAGGAAAGCAUUUUUGACAUCGAAUUGUUGCAAAGGCCAAUCAAGGUUUGCUGCUAGGGAUAAGAGUACACGAAUAGUGCUUAUCUUAGCUACAGGGGCAAAAGUCUUUCCGUAGUCAAUGCCAUAUGUCCGCGUGUAGCCUUUUGCCACUAAUCUUGCUUUGUAUCGCUCAAUAGUGCCAUCUGCAUUAAAUUUUACCUUGUAUAUCCACCUGCAACCAACUGAUUUCUUCCCCUUGGGUAGGUUAGUUAACUCCCAAGUGGAAUUUUUCUGGAGUGCCUCCAUUUCUUCAUUCAUUGCACGAGUCCACCUAGGAUCUUUCAUAGCAUCCUCUACACUACAAGGAAUAGAUACAGUGGAUAAUUGAUUCACAAAUGCCUCACAUGAUGUAGAUAGCCUAUGGAGGGACACAUGGUUAGCAAUUGGGUAUUUAACCUUGACUCUAGGAUCAGGAUCAUAUAACUGUUUAGGAAUCCCUCGAGAUUUUCGAGAGGGAAGUUGAUAAUUAAUGGACUCAAUUUGCCUUGACUCAGGUACGAUCUCAAUAGAAUUAGAUUGAUCAGUUACCUGUUGAUUGUGUUUAGGGGCUGAUUGAUCAUGUGGUACCAUCGAAGAAGGCAAUCUCAAGCCAUAUGGACUUAACGUUGCUGGAUGUACUUCUGUGUCUGAUGUUGGAGUCGAUGAUUCUGUUUCUGCAUGUAUUGUUUGAUUACAGUCGUCUGCCGACUUAUCAACAUUUAUCUCAGUUUCUGAAAUUUCUGCAACAAUUUUAAUGUUACUAAUGUCUUGGGUAUCCUCUUCAAACAAACUAUUCUCAUUUUGAAGGGGAUACUCAAUGUCUCCCUUUGAAAAAUAUGUUUCUCCUUCUUGAAACUGGACAUCUGCAGUGAUGUAUAGAGUUUGGGUAGGAGGAUGAAAACAUUUGUAUCCCUUUUUUGUAUCAGAAUAACCCAAGAAUACACACUGGAUGGCACAUGGAUCAAACUUCCCCCGUUGAUGUGGAUAAACCUGUACAUAAGCCACACAACCAAAGACACGUGGUUAUAAGUUUGGGAUAGAUGGAAUGGUGAGAAUGUGGUUAAGUGUUUGGAAUGGUGUUUGAUAUUGGAGAGUAUUGAAUGGUGUUCGAUUUAUGAGAUAUGUUGCAGAACACAGUGCCUCUCCCCAAAACUUAUGACGCAUGUUGGCACUAUAUAAAGAUGCACGAACCACUUCUAAGAGAUGUCGAUUCUUCCUCUCUGUUACACCGUUUUGUUGAGGUGUAUAGGCACAUGUGGUUUGAUGAACAAUACCAUGCUCUUGCAAAUAGUUAUGUAGAGCAUGAUUGACAUAUUCUUCUCCAUUAUCAGACCUGAGUGUCUGAAUUUUCUUGUCAAACUGGGUUGCAACAUAUUGAUGAAAAAAAUUGAACUUGGUAGGAACUUCACUCUUGUGCUUCAUUGGAAACACCCAGGUCAUUCUAGUACAGUCAUCUAUAAAUGUCACAAACCAUCUAAAUCCAGAAGUGGUAAGAAUUCUGGCAGGACCCCAAACGUCAGAAUGAACGACCAUGAAUGGCACAAAACUUUUAUUUAAUCUUAAUGGAUAGGAAACACGAUGACUUUUGGCCAAAAUACAAAUUUCACAAUGGAAAUCAGAUUCUUUGAAUUGGGGAAAAAGUUUAGGGAAUAAAAGUUUAAGAUAACCAAAUGAGGGAUGUCCUAAUCGCUUGUGCCAUAACCAAAUCUUCUUCAUUUGGGUUGAUUCGUCUCUGCUUACAUGAUGCACUAGACUCAAUCUAUUGCUGCAUUCUUCCAUUAAGUCCAAAUAAUAUAGUUUGCCCCUUCUAGUACCACAACCAAUCACGGCCCUUGUGAGCAGAUCCUGGAAAAGACAAUAUAGUGGCCAAAAUGAAACAGAACAAUUAAGGGAGUCAAUAAUUUGAGAAACAGAUAAAAGAUCGUAAUCUAGGGAUGGUACAACUAGGACAUGAUCAAGAUUGAGUGAGGAGGUUAGUGAAAGAGAGCCUUCUCCAGUAACUGGAGAGAUUGAACCAUUGGCACUGGUAAUGAAUGUCUGGUUGGCUGUUUUUAGUGAGUGAAGAAUGUUAGCAUCAAAUGUCAUGUGAUAUGUAGGUAUCAAGGUUCUAAAAAUCGCUAGGCGCUAGUCAAAUGGCUAGGCGGACUAGGCGGAUUUAAGUAAAUCUAUCAUAUUUCAUGUAAAUAAGUGUCUGCUUCUACUUGAAAUAUAUAUAAUUUCAUCAUAAACUACAAAAUACAAUGCAUAUAUAUCAUGAAGUAUUGGAACAUAAUGAAAACAUGUGAAAUAAGGAUAUAAUGUUUGUUCAUUCAAGUAUGCAACAAGUCUCUUACAAUUUAUUGGAAAAAAACAAAAUGCAAAAUGAAAGUUACGUAUUUUCUGUCUAAGUGAGGUGCAACCUAGGCAGGUUAGGCGGGUGCCUAGGCGGGCUAGGCGGGUGCCUAGGUGGUCUAGGCGGUGAGCUGGGGCCUAGGCAUUAAUCGGGGCGGUGGGCUAGGGGCUGGGGCCUAGCGCCUAAGCGGGGAUUUUUAGAACAGUGGUAGGUAUCAAUAAUCCACGAUCUAUUACAAGUAUUAGUGGAUGUAGAGUUAGAUAUAUUUGAGGUGUUCAAGGCUUUUGGGACAUGGUCAGAUGAGUAACAUCUUGAGAAGACUCAGAAGUGGUGAAUGAUGCUCUGCUGGAUUCCUUUUUUGGUCCUUUGUGAACCCAUCCUUCUGGAUAGCAAAUAAUCUCAUAACAGCCUUGAAUAGUAUGAUUUUUCAAUCUGCAUUUGGUGCACUGCAUAGGUGGUCGAUUACGAAAUCGAUCAGCUGUUGAGGAGUUUAUGUUUUGAAGUCGAGGUCCUUGUGGAGAUCGAGAAUUUGUGGUAAAGAGCACAGUAGCUUCAGGCAUGGUGGCACUUUCUGAUAUGGUUCCUUAUCAAUUGCUUUCACGUUUGACAUGAGAGUAUGCUCCUUCAAGACCAGGUUUGGGCUCCAUCAUCAAAAUCUCACCACGAAUUUGAUCAAACUUGUUGUCUAAUCCUGCAAGAAAAAUAUAGACUCGAAGUCGCAAUUUCUUGCUGCCUUGAUAAGAUAUCAUCUGUGUCCUUCAUGUUAGUAGGACUAAGUUGAUCAAGUUCUUGAAAAAUCUCGGUGAGAUUGUUGUAAUAGUUAGCAAUAUGAGCUCCAUUUUGCUUCAUGGUAAAUGACCUUUUGUGAAGAUCAUAAAUUUUGGCUUCAUCAGAGCCAUCUGAGUAAGUCUUUUUUAUGGCAUCCCAUACUUGCAUGGUUGUGUCGUAACGGAUGAACCGCUUCAUCUGAUUGGGUGUCAUAACAUCAAAUAACCAACUUUUGACUUGGCAAUUUUCAGCUCGCCACUUGUUAUACAGUGGGUCUGUGAUUGCAAGCUGCUUGGUAUCACCGGAAAGAUGCCCAUGUUUUUCUCGACCAACAAUUUUCAUCUUUAUGACUUGAUGCCAUAGAGAAUAGUUGUUCUCAUCAGGUUUAAUUCCUGCAGAGAAAUUGGAAUUAUCAUUUUGAAUGGUGACCACUUGUGUGGUGGAGUUUGAUUCACAUGGUGUGAAGGACUGAAUUGGUGGGUCUGAUACUUUAUCAUCACUAGCCAUUGUAUAGGCUUAAGAUCAAUGAAGUUGAAAUAAAAAUAAAACUGAUAUGAUGAUUGAGAUAUGAUAUGGCGGAAGCUUUUUUCUGUUUUUGAGGUUCAAGAGUCAGUCGUGAUCGACUGCUCUGAUACCAUCUCAAAAUUUGAAAUAUACUUCAUUAUUAUUUGUUUACAAGAGGGAAGUCCUCUCUUAUAAAGGGCCAAAAACUAGUCCUAACAAGUGGACAAGUCAAAUGAUGAUCACAUGAGGAAAACACCGAAGAGGAAAAUAAGAAGAAAAGGAAAGCAAAGUAAUGAUGACUAGUUAUAAAGCAAAGUAGUGAUGACUAGCUAUAAAGUAAAGUAAUGAUGGCUAGCUAGAGGAAUAAUUAUAAGUCUAUUAUCUAUACCAAUAAUGUCUAGCAGCUAUUGUUGACACUUCUGACCAAAAUAACCACUGGGAAGUGUAUCUAACGGACCAAGUCCACUAUAUGCAUCAACGGCAGAUUGAACUUCACUCUCACGCUGGCAACAAGUAAUUCUAGCAAACCCUUCACUCAGCUUAGGCAGUUCUUUCUUCUGCAGCAUUCUAUUCACAAUCACAACAGCUUUCCCGCCUUGCACGUUUCCUUCAUGGCCGUUCGCUUCACGACCGUGAUAUACCAAGCUUGGCGGGAAGAUCAAGCACCACAGCAUGAACAUCAACCUGGGCACUACCACCAAGCUUCACAAAUCAUCCCUUUGUGCUUUCUCUAAAUUACACCUACCUAUAAACACACUCUUCCCAUUCUUCAACCAUUUUUGAUAGUAUCCUAUAUAAAAACAUAAAAAGUGAACUUAUAACAGCAUAAAACAAGAACCAAAAUGAAUAGAAAUCUGGAGUAUCACACUAAGUAUUGAAAAUAGCAAUCUUGAGCCCACUGAGGCAUUUCAUCGAAAAUAUUGUGCACAUAGAGAUAAACCUGGCAAAGCCAGCACCCUAAAAUGGUAAAGCUUUCAAUAUAUUAAAAAAGCAUUCCCUUUUUAAAAAAGAAAAACUAACAAUGAAGUUUCAAAACUUUAAAUUUUAAUAAAAAAUCAUGUAAUAACUUUAUUUAAUAGUUAGAAUAAAGCAUAACACUAAACCAGUCCAAUUAAAAUGACCUAAAGGUUGAGUUUCCGAUUGUGCCCCAUACAGCAAAGCAACAUGCCGUCCCUUCCUUCUCGUACCUUUUCUUUUUAUCCAAGUAUGGAAGUAGUUCUAGUAAUUUUUUUUUCUUUUGAAAAUUUUUAAUCACGACAUUUUAAUUGAGAAGAGCAAAAUAUUAAAAAUAUCCCAUCUCCAAGGAUUUUUUAUUUUUUACCAAAUAUUCAAGCAAGUAGUUUCGUUGACUGUUUUUUUUUUAAAAUUCUUUAAUCACAUUUUCUAAAUUUAAAUUCAUUCAAAAAAGCAAAAAAUAAAACGAAAGAGCAAACUAGUUACAUUAAACAUACAGGCUUUUUUUUUAAUUUUUUAAUAUUUAAUUUAUAAACAAUAGCUUUAAUUAAAUUGUUUUUCUUUUGUUUUGAACGAACGAUACUAUUUACACGAAUCCGGUGACGAAGUGGGCUAAGCCUCACAAUAGGCUAACAAGCGAAGAUGAAUUUAAACCUUAGAUUUCUCACUUACAAGUGAAGAUGAAUACCACUAGACCGUAGUAUUAAGUGGCUAGUGGGUUAAAUUGUUAAAUACGAGAGAGACGAGGGAUCGGUAGGGAUUGAACGCAUCAGGAUGCAUACACAGUAACCUUGAUUAAUGACAUUCGAAAUAAAGAGAAAAAUAAAGAAAAAGAAAGAAAAUAAUCUAUACGAGGGUACAAACACAUAUUAAAUACAAAUCAUCUAGCUUAUUAGAUGGAGUAUUUGACAAAUCAAAUAAUGUAGCGAGCCAGGCCGCCGCGUGAGGUCGAAUGGGGUGUGUUAGACAAAUAAGAUAAUGUAGUAAAAUUCCUACGUAUUUUAGAUGAACUUUAUUUUAAGAGGACAUGUGAGAUUUGUGAAUGCCAAAAAUACCAUACGAAUUCUAUCUUAUUUUACCCCUUUUGCGCCCGAAUGAUGGUAGUUGGGAAUUUCAUCCUAUCCCAGGCCACGAUCAAGCAGAUUCACAACUUACAAAGUAUUAAACCUAAGACCUCCCUUUUUUUCCUUUGGGGAGUUGUUGUUCGCCUUUGUUUCACUGAAUCACUUGUCCUGGUUUAUUGAUGAUAGUAUUUUACUGGAAGUAAUAUAUCAUACACUCUUUCUUUCUCCCCAAACACCCUUUUUCAAUCUUUUUCGUUGAUUUUGUUGAAAUUAUUCAAUUUGAUAACACAAUACAAAAAAAUGCUUGGGGUUAUCAUUCUUUUAUUCACUAAUCACAAAACCAAUUUGUUAUAUGUGAAAUGUACCAAUUUUUUUUAACACUAUGGAUACAUUCUUUUGCCAUUUAUUAUUUCUUAUUUUUACAUAGUUUUUAUCCAUUUAUUUAAUCAAAAUGUUUGAAUUUUUUUAUUGGAACCUUUUCUAAUAGUAUUAUAAUGAGAGAUUUUAAAUUUAUAGGAUUAUAAAUCUCAUAAAAUAUCAAACAAUUAAUGUCAAAACUAUAAAAAUAAAAAUAUUAAUAGUAAUAUAAUGAGGUGUACAAAGUCAAGGGAUCUUGAUCAAACUUUGAAUACGAUUAAGGUUUUAAUCAAAGAAUGUUAAGGAUUAUGAACCGUAUCCAAAAUAUCCCUAAAAUAAAAUAAAAUUUCUGCCCCCUACCAAACAGCCAUACCAAAGAAGUCAACCUAACAAUGUCACAAUUCCACAGCUAGCCCCUGAAGUUACAGGCAUGGCCAUGAAUUUCACAUUUGAGAAAAGUGAGACCUUACAUGUGCAGCAUACUUAUAAGUAAUUGAAAUGCUCCCAAUAUUACCAAUUAGUUUUAUGGUGCAACCUCAACUUUUUUCAUGCUGCUAGAGCAGAUUGUUCUAUGUAUGAAACCGAACGGCCACAUGUGCUCCAUGUAACACGAUUUAUGUUGUCUACAUGCUAGGCUUGAAAAUCCGUCUUCUGUGAAGUUGCUUAGGGGCCCGGAGGUGAUGGUUGCUCCACCAAGUCUUUGCCCCCACGGUCACCUCGCUUUUAAUUCGGACCCUAUUUUUGUUGCAGGUUACAGACUUUGAGAUGUGGGAUUUUAGAGGGAGAACACUUGAAAGUCGAGCAAUUUUGGAGGGAGAAGACUUAGACCUAGUUUGGGAGUGAGGUGCUUAAAAAAAAAACACCCAUGAAAAAAAGUUGUGAGGGUUUUAGGUGUUUGGUAAACUGAAAAAAAAGAGCUUAUUUUGGAAGCUACUGUGAGAAUAAGCUGAAAUCAAAGGAAAAAGCUGAAGCUGCUAUUUGUAGCUUUGGAAAACUGGCUUUUUUUCAAAUCACAUGGAGCUACAGUGCUUCUUUAAUGAAAAAAUCCAAUAUUAGACUGCUUUUUUUUUUCCAAAAGCACUUUUACAAAAAAGUUUACCAAACACUCUGCUGAUUUAUUUCACAGCCGCUUAUUCUCACAGCACAGCCGCUUAUUCUCACAGCAGCUUUUUUUUCAAAGCACAGUAAUACCAAACCAGCCCUUAGUCAGUCAACAGCCACCGGAAAUGAAGAUAGGAAAGCAACCCGGUAAGACUUGAACAUCAACCCAACCACAAAACCGAAUGACCACUGAAAAUUUCUGGUGUUUGGUGGCAAUGUACUGAGAGUUUGUGGUUGAAAAUCUCUAGGUGUUCUGGAAGUAAGCAGACUGCAUGCAAUAAAGCCUCCAACCAUCUAUCCAAACUAUGUUAAAACCUGGUUGAGCAAAGUUGUAGGCGCUGAUUCUUUCUUUUUCAAAUACUAAUGAAGAAAUUUUUUACAUCUAAAGAGAAAAAAAAAAUGUACUAGCAACGGUUAAUUAUCACCUGACAUAGAAUGAACACAAUAAGAAGCGAGUGAUUUAAGUGCAAGUUUUUAUUUUGGACAAAAAAAGAAGGACGUUCAUGCAACCAAACGUACAAAUAAAGGACUUGUAGGUCAAUUGGUUUAAGUAUUUACCCAUGAGAGAAAAAACACGAUGACGCGUUUAUGGAAUGCAAAUCAUAUAAAGCAAUCAUGAGCACCCAUGUAGGUGGGAGUGUGACAUGCAUCCACUUUCUUCCACUUCUCUUGUGUUGGCACCACUAUUUCUUCAUGGCUACAGAGAUGGCAGAAGACUUCAAAGUCCACAUGAAAGAAGAAAAACUAUUCGUCCCAUUUCCCCUUUUCCGAUUCAACAAUGCGUAUUAAAGCCACCACAACCAUUCUCAGUUUCCAUCACUUUCCCCGAUUAUAGUCCACGGGCCUAGCCCCCAGAGCAGCCACUAAUUAAGACCAAAUUGGUCUCUGACUCACACACCAUUACACAUUCUUUAUAUGCAUGUGUAAUUAUUCCCAACAGAACACAGUAUAUUUACAAAGAAGAAUAACUAGGGACCUGCCUAUUGCCUAAGCUAUUCCUUACUUACAUUUGGUGUCACAUAUCAGCAGCAACUUCCGAUGAAAACUCCUCUGCUUUCAUGGCUUUUCUUAAUCCGCAUUUGCUGUGUUUCACUCAGCUUCCAUACGUUUGUGGUCUCUAGACAAUGUCCCGGCGAUCAGCAAUCUUUGUUGCUACAAUUGAAGAACAGCCUCACAUUUGACCCUGCAACAUCUCAAAAACUUGUGAACUGGAACAAUGGCUCGGAUUACUGCUCUUGGGAAGGAGUGUGUUGCAAAGAGGGUUGUGUUUCGAAUCUGGACUUGAGCAGCGAGGCGAUUACUGGUGGACUUGAUCAUUCCAGUUCUCUUUUUGGUCUGAAGUCAAUUGAGAACCUAAACUUGGCUUACAACUUCUUCAACUACACUCAGCUUCCUUCCGAGCUCAAGCAGCUAACAGGUUUGAGUAAUCUGAACUUGUCGAAUGCUGGCUUUGCAGGGCAGGUUCCAAUUGAGAUUUCACACCUUACGAGGUUGGUAACUCUUGAUUUGUCUACCUUUUAUUUCUCGGGAGCUCUGUUGCUGAAACUUGAGAUGCUGAAUUUGAAUGUGCUGCUUGGGAAUUUUUCUGAGCUUGUUGAACACUAUCUUGAUAGUGUGAAUAUUUCAGCACAGAGAACUGAGUGGUGCCAAGCUAUAUCAUCUUCACUGCCAAAAUUGAGGGUGCUGAGCUUGUCCAGUUGUAAUCUUUCAGGCCCUAUUGAUGGUUCAUUACUGAAGCUUCACUCCCUCUCGGUUAUUCGUUUAGAUAACAAUGAUUUGUCUACUCAAAGUUCCCAAAUUUGACUUCCUUGCACCUAAGCGAUUCUGGCUUAUAUGGUUCAUUCCCAGAGAAGAUCUUCCAGCUACCUACAUUGCAGACUAUUAACUUAUCAGGCAAUCAACAUCUUCAGGGUUCCUUACCAGAAUUUCCAAAGAAUGCAUCUCUCCGGUCCUUGGUUCUAAGCGGGGCUAACUUUUCAGGCCAGCUGCUUCCGAACUCUCUUGGAAACCUCAAAAUGUUGUCCAACAUAGAUAUUUCGGGUUCCAAUUUCACUGGAUCAAUCCCAAGGUCAGCAGGACACCUUCAUCAAUUGGUUUAUUUUGACUUGUCACGGAACAAGUUCAAUGGCUCUGUUCCAUCCUCCAGUAUGGCCAAGAAUCUGACCCUUAUAAACCUUUCUCACAAUCAGCUAACGGGUCAGAUUAAUUCCACUCACUGGGAAAACCUUACUAAUCUGAUGUAUCUCAACUUGAGAUCCAAUCAAUUAGAUGGGUUUAUUUCACCAUCUCUGCUUUCUCUUCCCGUCCUGCAACAAUUACAGCUUUCCAACAAUCACUUCUCUGGUCAGUUGCCUGAAUUUUCAAAUGUCUCUUCGUACUUACUGGGUACCCUCGAUUUGAGUUACAACAAAUUGGAAUGGUCAAUUCCGAUGUCUAUCAUGAAAUUCCAAGGGCUUAAGAUUCUUUUACUUUCAUCAAACAACUUCACCGGCUCUUUCCUUCUGAAUGAUAUUCAGCAGCUAAGCAAUGUUUCAAAUCUUGAUCUUUCUUUCAAUAGCUUGUCUAUUAAUUACAAUGACAUCAAUUCCUCUCCUUGUUCAUCUCCAAAAAUUACCACCUUGAAGUUAGCUUCUUGCAAUUUGAGAAGAAUCCCAGGUUUCUUGCGAAAUCAAUCGACAUUAGGCACUUUGGACCUAUCACAAAACCAGAUUCAUGGUGAGAUACCCAACUGGAUUUGGAAGUUGAGUAGUCUUAGUCAACUAAAUCUUUCUUGCAACUCUUUGUUAACACUAGAAGGUCCUGUCCUCAAUCUUACUUCUAUUUUCUCAGUGCUUGACCUUCAUUCCAACCAGCUUCGGGGACAAAUUUCAGUUCUUUCACCAUUUGUCUAUUAUCUGGAUUACUCAAGAAAUAAUUUCAGCAUUCCGGCUGACAUUGGUAAUUUCCUUAUUGUUAGAGUUGCUGCACAAUAAAACAGGAACAAUAUUACCAGAGAAUGAAGAACGUAAAAUGAAAAUCUGUCUUGGGUUGAGUUGCGGACAAUGUCGCUUUCUUUAAGACGUUUCACGGCUUUGCCCAAUGUGUGCAAACAGUUCGAAUAACACCACGUCGUCCCCAGGAUAAAACAGCCCAGAAUCCCUCUGUCUAGACCUUCCUUUGCACUGAGGAAGAUCCGAAAACACUCACCCUCUGAAUACUCAGUGUUAUUAGCUAGGUUUUUCUUAGUUUUUUUCUUUGUGUGUCGACUAAAGAGAGGUCCUCAAAUUUAUAUAGAAAAACCAAAGUUUAACGUUGAAGAGGUUGAGGGAAAGGUGGCCUAAGAAUCAGGCCAAAAAAUCUGGUAGUGAUCACCUAGUUGAGGAAGACUAGGUCUUUUCCUUUAUCUUCAAAACCAAAAUCUAUUUGAUAAAAUACAAGUAACCAUAAAAAUAGGAGAGCUAGUUCCUGAAUAAAACCAUAACUAUGGUUUUAAAAUAAACACAAAGUUUCAACAAUCCCCCACUUGUUUAUUUAAAAACAAAAUUUGUUCAUUGAGCAAUCAAGUUAUAGAGUUGUGCUUAAGCACAAGUGUUAAUCAACUUGAACUAGUACAUAGUGUCAUUGCCUCAGAACAACAAGUGUUACACCCCACCCCCAAUUAUAUGUAUAAAUUCGUAAUUUUCCCAAAAAUUUAUUGGAAUUAUAAAUUUAGUCCCUAGUUCUUUACCCAAUCCGGAUCUAAAAGUGGGAUUUCCUCCAACCCUCAAACUACCAUGUGGCAGCACCCCAACACUCCUCACUUUUCUCUCUUUUUUCCCCCACCCCGAGACCUCUCUCUCACUCUCACCUUCAGCUCUUUCUCUGCACUCCCUCUUCCUCUCUCGAAAACCCUCUCACUCUCUCUCCCUUCGACCCACACCAGACAGCACCCACAUCACCUUCUCGCUGUCAUCUACACCACCACCAUCAACACCUCAUCUUUUUCUUUCUUUCUCUCUCUCUCUCUCUCUCCAGCGACAGAAAACUCUCCAGUGAGAUUUUCUCAUCUUUCCAGCUAGGUAAGCCUCGGGAUUCUCUCUCUGUGUUUUAGGUUGAUGUUGAGUUCGAUUGUUGAGAGAUUAAUUGUUGUUGAAACACCCCAACCCCAUUUUAUUUAAAAAAUUGUUUUAAAGCCGUAAUUGGUGAGCCUGUGGGGCCCACCUUGUUUUAUUUUUUUGUGUUUCCCAGUCUCCCUUUCUCCUAUCCCAGUUCUCUUUCUUCCUCUUCUUCUUCCCUUUCCCGUAUACCUCUCUCAUCUCUCUCUCCCUCUCUAUCACCAUGAACACCCACCACCAUAACCACCUGCAGCUACUCUACUCGAGAACAUCAUCAUCAUCAUCAAGCAUUGCUCUAGUCUCUCUUCCAUCGCAGCGAGAUUGGUGAAAGCAGAGAAAAGGAACCUCCGGCGAGCACUGACCCUUUCGAGGCCAUUUCCGGCCAAACCAAGGCAAGUUGGCCGGCAUGUAACGUAUCAAUCUCUUCGUCUCCCUGAGUACUACAACUUUCCUUUUUGUUUCACUCAAUUUCGUUGAGUAUUGAAGAAGUUAUACUCAUUUGAAUUUUACCCAGUUUCCGGCGACCUCCGAGUCUUUCAAGGAAUUUUCCGGCCAAACCACGGCGAGUUAGACAUCAUGUGAGGUAUCAUUCUCUUCGUCUCUUCAAGGGCUACAACUUUCAUUUUGUCUCACUUGAUUUCGUUGAGUACUGACAAAGUUAUAGCCGUUUAAAGUUGGGUAGUUUUCCAGCCGAAUUUCCUACCUUCUCCUUCGACAAACCCAGGCCAUCCGGCCUAUCCCAUUUCCUCCCCUCGGGCCUUAGGCCCGUGUUGUCUUAAGCCCAAAACCCUAACCCCUUUAGUUUUUAAGUUUGUUAUUUGGUUUUUAAAACCCUUAAGGCCUGGGCCGGUUUUGACUUAAAGGGCUUAAAGCCCUGUUAGUUUUUGUGAGGCCUUAGGGCCUUGGUGCCGUGGGUGUGUGUGUUAGGUGUGAGUGUGUGUAUGUGUUUAUGCAUGCACAUGCAUGCCCCGUGUGUGUGUGUAUUUGUAGUAUGUGUGUGUGUUUGGGCUAAAGCCCAAACCCCAAUUCUCACCCUAAAGCCUUUUAACCCAAAAACCCUAGGUUUCUAAAACCCAUUUAAAACCCUAAUCCGGAUUUCAAGUCUAAAACUCGUUUGACCUAAUUUGACGGUUGACUCCCGGUCAACGUUGGCCUUCAAGGUUGACUUUUCGGGUUUUUGCUCAAAAUCCCUCUUAAGCUAAUUUCAACGUUCUGAAUCUGUUUCCAACGUCCGUUUUCCCAAAUUCAAUUUCUAUUAUAUAGUUUUAUUUAUUGGACUCUUUAUGUGCUUAGGGGCAAUUAUUGUGACGUUUCCGUCUUCGCUAGUGGCGUAGUUUUUGGCAGCUAAGUACUGUGAGUUGACCCUUUCUAAAAUUACAUGAUUUUAUAGUUUAAUUGCAUAAAUGAUUAGCAUGCCUACGAAUUUAUGAAGUGAUUUAUGUGAAGCCUGUUGAUUUAAUAUAUUGAUUUUCGUCUCGUGUUUUUGGUGAGGAAUUCAUUGUUGGCCUAUAUUGAGCUAUAUUUUAAUAUAUCGUAUUUUCUAUAAAAACCAUGAACUGGUAGACUAUCUGAUAGAUGACGAUAGGAUGCUAGAACAUGUUUUUGAACCCCUCUUUAUAGUGUAGACGAUGAUCGAUAAUCUCAGUUAUGAAGUGGUUAUUUAUGAGAUGCGUGAAUAUUUGUGCGUACCUAGUAGACACUAUGCCGCCUGGGGCGAGGAACUGGUGUUGGCAUUUAGGCCGGGAGAAAUAAUCCCUAGCUAUGGGCUGAGGGACAUGGAGCAGGUAUUGGGCCGGGAGUUGUUAAUCUCUGACUACGGGCGCAGAGACCACGGAGCAGGCAUUGGGCUGGGAGUUAUAUUUAUUCGGUGAUGUUACUAGCAACACACCGCGCUUAUGAGACGAUUUAUGAGACGUUUACUAUUUUGAUUUCCGCGAUGUUAUUCCGCGAUAUGGCUUUUGAGAUAUUUUGGCAUGCUAUGAUUUUUAUUAAAUCCAUCACUUAUUAUGCUAGUAGUUUUCAUUAUAUAAACUGUGGGGGUUAGUAUCUUGAUAACUGUUUUAUUAUUAUUAUUAUAUAUAUAUAAACUUGGCUCACUCACCUUUGUUUUGUGCCCCCAUUCAGGACUUAGAAUCAAGGCAUCUAAUCCCGGCGUGAAGGCACUUCCGCAGCAGCAUAUUCGAGUCCUCUUGGUGUAGGACCCUCAUCCUUUAUUUAUUCAAUUUUAUAUAAAUUCUUUUAGUGAUUAGGUUUAGUUGUAUGCUCUAAACACGUUCCUAAAUUGUUAGUUCAUUGUAUUUCAAAUUUCUAACCCUUAUUUAUUUCUUAUUCUUAGCUUUUGUAUCAAUUAAUGGCUUUCGUCACCCUCGGGUGUCGGCCAGCACGUGUCUAUCCUGGUAUUCGGGGAAUAUCAGGGUCAGGGCGUGUCAGUUGUUGGCAAGGUUUAAAACGAGAAAACGAGACUGGCUCGGGGAAACGAAACCCAUCUCCAACGAGUCCCAUGGGUGUCGAGGAGUUUUUUUACCACCACUGGCCGUUUCACGACGAACCAAAGGUAUCAAAUCACUCAUUUCACUUUCCACUACAUGUUGAUACUAGAUCGAAGCUUAGGGUCCUUGUUUAUCGUCAGCCGGAGCUGGGAAAGCUUCGACGUUCACCUCUAUCAAGCCCAAGCCUUUCAGGCCGUUUCAAACCCUCAGGUUUUAGGCCCGUUAAGAACCUAGCCCAAAAUCCUUUUCCGUUUCAUUUUUAUUUUUUAUUUUAAUUGUUUUAAAACCUAAAAGGCUUUCGGGCAUGUUCCUUUAAGGCCUUUAGCUCAUUGACCCAACCCUAAAAAAAUCUUAUAUUUGGGCCAGGCGUUUAAGCCUGGGCCUGUGUGAUUUAAAACCCAGGUUAAGGCUUUAGGGCCAAAUAGAACUUGGGCUUCCAGCCCAACCCUAAGCCUAUUUCCCUAAACCCAUUAACCCUAAACACGGUCUAACCCUAAGCCCAGACCCUGUUUGGCCUGGUCUGACCCGAACCCGUUAACUUUAACCUGAUCUGACUGUUGACCCUUUCGGAUAUUAAAAUCUUUCAUCUUCCCCUUCUACACCUGACUCUUUAUGUCGGCACAUUUCUGAUCAAGUUCCUGGGCUUCCCUGACCAUAUCCACCAAAACAUAUCUAACCUGGAAGUGUGCCAACCAAGCUUUCUGAUCACGCGGUUUCACAGUAAUGCUGGUUUCUCGAAGAGAAAAUAGUAACGGAACAUGGAUAGCUCCAAGAGAAGCAAGAUGUCCGUGAUAUUUCCGGCUAAGUGCAUCCGCCACUACAUUGGCAUGUCUGAGAUGAUAUUCGAUCGUGCAGCCAUAGUUAAUGAUGAGCUUCAUCCAUCUUCUUUGCCUCAAACUCAAAUCUUUCUGCAUAAAGAUAUAUUUGAGGUUCUUAUGAUCAGUGAAGAUGCGGCACUUCUCGCCAUACAGGUAAUGUCUCCAGAUUUUCAGAGUAAACACCACUGUGCCAAGUUCCAAAUCAUGAGUGGGAUAAUUUCUCUCGUGGGUCUUGAGGUGCCUAGCAGCAUAGGCAAUGACUUUCCCAUGCUGCAUCAAUACACAACCAAAACCUGAAAGAGAUGCAACAAUGUAGAUCUCAAACUCACCACCCUCUUCCGGAAGGGCAAGGACUGGAACUUGAGUAAGAUGUUGCUUCCACUCCUGAAAACUCUGUUCACAGUUUUCAUCCCACUCAAACUCGACCUCCUUCCAACUUAACUUAGUCAAAGGCAAGGCAAUUGCUGAGAAACCCUUAACAAAUCGUUGGUUAUAGCCAGCUAGACAUAGAAAACUCCUCACCUUUGUAACAUUCCUCAGUUGCUCCCAUGUAGAUAUUGCCGAAACCUUCUGAGAAUCCACACUAAUUCCCUCAGCAGAUACUACAUGUUCGAGAAAGCUGAUCUGGUUUAGCCAGAACUGACACUUACUGAAUUUAGCAUACAACUACUGACUUUUCAACCUUUCCAACACCAACCUCAAAUGUUUCCUGUGUUUGGCAACAUUCUUAUAAUAGAUCAGGAUGUCAUCGAUGAACACAAUCAUAAACCAGUCCAGAUACAGUCUGAAGACACUGUUUAUCAAAUCCAUAAACGCUGCAGGUGCAUUCGUUAAUCCAAAAGGCUUGACAUAGAAUUCAAAGUGUCCAUACCUGGUACGGAAGGCAGUAUUCGGUACAUCUUCCUCCCGGAUUAGUAGCUGGUGAUAACCUACGCGAAGAUCAAUCUUAGAGAACACCUAAGCACCAUUCAGUUAGUCAAACAUGUUGUACAUGCCUCAAGAUAACGAAGUGAUGAAAAAGGAAAUCUUGGAUGAAGCACACAUUUCAGCAUAUGCCAUGCAUUCGAGAAGCACCAAACUGUAUCACACUAUUCGUCUGUUCUAUCACUGGGUUGGAAUGAAACGGGAUAUGGCGGAUUAUGUGAGUAGAUGUAUUAUCUACCAACAGGUGAAGGCUAAGAAACAACGACCUAGGGGACUAAUGCAAAAUCUUCCGAUACCAGUAUGGAAAUGGGAAGACAUCACCAUGGAUUUUACGUAUGGUUUGCUGAGGACAUAGUCGGGAUUUGACAACAUUUGGGUAAUUGUAGAUCGACUCACUAAGACCACUCACUUAUUGCCUGUUCGGCAAACCUAUUCACUAGAAAAGCUAUCGAAGUUGUUCAUCGAUAAUAUUGUCAGAAUUCACGAUGUACCCGUCUCCAUCGUUUCAGACAGAGAUCCCAGGUUUACUUCUAGGUUUUGGAAAGUUUUUAAUACUGCCAUAGGUACUCAAUUGUUGUACAGCACUGCCUACCAUCCUCAGACCGAUGGUUAGUCCGAGCGGAUAAUUCAGGCAUUGGAGGACAUGUUAAGAGUGUCUGUUAUUCAGUGGAAGGGUAAUUAGGAUAGCUACCUGUCGUUGGUUGAGUUUACAUACAAUAACAGCUAUCAUUCAAAUAUCGACAUGGCACCUUAUGAGGCUUUAUAUGGGAAAGUGUUUCGGACACUGUGGUGUUAGACAAAGGUCGGCAAACGAGUGUUAGUGGGGCCAGAGAUUGUGGACACCACCAAUGCUAACAUCCAGCUGAUUAAGAGAAACCUAAAGGUAGCAUAAGACCGACAGGAUAAAGUUUUGAAGAACAAAGUUAUUUCGUUGGUGAAAGUGCUUUGGAGGAACCAUGUUGUUGAGGAAGCGAAGUAGGAAACGGAGAAUUUGAUGAGAAGUCAGUACGCGUUUUUAUUUGGUUGAGGUUGUAAUUUCGAGGAUGUAAACUUUUUUAAGAGGGUAGAUUGUUACACUCCACCCCCAAUUAUAUGUAUAAAUUCGUAAUUUCCCCAAAAGCUUAUUGGAAUUAUAAAUUUAGCCUUAGUUUGUUACCUAAUCCAGAUCUAAAAGUGGGAUUUCCUCUCAACCCUCAAACUGCCACGUGGCAGCAACCCAACACUCCUCACUUUUCUCUCUUUUUCCCCUACCUCAAGACCUCUCUUUCACUUUCACUUUCAGCUCUCUCUCUGUGCACUCCAUCUUCCUCUCUCGAAAAUCCUUUUACUUUCUCUCCCUUUGACCCACACCCGAGAGCACUUACACCACCUUCCCGACGUCAUCAACAACACCACCAUCAACACCUUGUCUCUUUCUUUUUCUUUCUCUGCUCGCUACGAGGACGGGGAAAGACUGAAAACUCUUCGGUGAGAUUUUCUCAUCUUUCCAGCUAGGUAAGCCUUAGGAUUCUAUCUUUCUAUUUUAGGUUGAUGUUGAGUUCGAUUGUUGAGAGAUUUAAUUGUUGUUGGCAAGGUCUAAAACGAGACCAGCUAGGGGAAACAAAACCUAUCUCCGACAAGCCUUGUGGGUGUCGAGGAGUUUUCUGACCACCACCAGCCGUUUCACGACGAACCAAAGGUAUCAAAUCACUUCUCUCACUUUCCUCUACAUGUUGAUACCUAGAUCGGAGCCUAGGGUCAUUAUUUGCUGUCGAUCGGAGCUAGGAAAGCUCCGGCGUUCACCUCCGUCAAGCCUAGGCCUUUUAGGCCGUAUCAAACCCUCGGGCUUUAUGCCUAUUAAGAACCCAGCCCACAAUCCUUUUUUGUUUCUUUUUUAUUUUAAUUAUUUUAAAACCAAAAAAGCUUCGGGCCUAUUCUUUUAGGGCCUUGGCCCGUUGACCCAACCCUAAAAACUCUUAUAUUUAGGCCAGGCAUUUAAGCCUGGGCCCAUGUGAUUUAAAACCCAGGUAAGGCCUUAGGGCCAAAUAGAACUUUGGCUUCCAGCCCAACCCUAAGCCCAUUUCCCUAAACCCAGUCCAACCCUAACCCGUUUAACUUGGUUUGACCUGGACCUGUAACCCGUUGACUUUGACCCGAUCUGACCGUUGGCCUGGUUAACGUUGACCAUUGACUUUGACUUUCGGGUUGACUUUUCUGGUUUCGUCCUAAACUCCUCUUAGGCUAAUUUCGACGUCCUGAACCCAUUUCUGACGUACGUUUUCUCAAAUUAAGUCGUUUGAGUAGAGUUGACUAAAUGUACCCUUUAUAUGCAUAGGUGAAAUUAAUAGCAGUGUUCCGUUAUUUCUUUUGGUAUAGCUUUGCACCAAUGGUGUACGGUGAGUUGACCCCUUCUAAAAUGCAUGUUUUAAUAGUAGAAAUGCAUACAUGGAAAAGCAAGAUUUAACAAUAAUGUUCUAUGAAACAUGAUGAGAUAACAUGCUUAUUGAGGCUAGAUUGAAUUACUAUUACUUUUUCUAUAACCCGUGUUCUUUAUAGAAUAUCUUAUGAAUGACGAUAUACUAUUUAGAACAUGUUUAGAACACUUCUUUAUAGUAUAGAUGAUGGAUGACUUUAUACUAUGAAGUUGCCUUUCAAAUAAAUGUAUGUUCCAAUGGUUUUGUACUUACCUAGUGGUCCCUAUUCCGCUACGGGGCGAGGGAUAGAUUCUGUUCCGGGCGACAGUUAUGGUGUUGACAUAGGGCUUGAAGUUUUUUUUCCUCUAGCAAUUAGCAUAGGGAUGGGGAGCUGGCAUAGUGCCUGGGGGUUAUUUUCUUCUGACAACUGGUACAGAGACGGGGAGCUAACAUGGGGCCUGGGGGUUAUCGGAUAUUCACUAGUGAUUAUUAUAUAUACAAGAUAUGUUUUGAGACAUUGCACGACAUGCUAUGUUUCGGAAAAUAUAUUUUAUCAUGUUAUAUAUGUUUUCAUAAAACCUGAAGGUUAGUAUGUUGAUAACUGUUUUAUUAUAUCCAUAUCAACUUGGUCUACCCUUGUUUGUUUUGUGCCCCCUUCAGGAUCUAGGAACGAGGAAUACGAUUUGAGCUAUGAGGCAUUCCCCUACCAGUGAUAUCGUGUUAUAUUCUCUCUGCUUCGGCAUCUGUUGUAAUAACACUCUCUAUCUUAAAUUUCCGCUUGUACUCUGUAUUAGACUUAUACUCUGAACAUGUCAUGCAUAAUCUUAAUAUUAAUUGUUAGCAGUUGAACUUUAGUAUUGUGUUAUUCGUCCCUAUUGCAUGGUUAGUCCCAAUUUAUAUGCAUGGUUCACAUGUUCUUAGCAUUUGCAUAAAUUAAAUGGCUUUCGUCACCCUUUGGGUGUCGGCCAACACGUGACCAUCCCGAUGAUCCGAGGACAUCGGGAUCAAGACGUGUCAACAAGAGUAACACUUGGUUUUGAACUCUACCUCUGACGACAAAGCAUACACAUCUCUUCUAGGGUGAAGUUCGAAACCAGCACGUUUCGGCCUUGUGCUUGUAUCCCGGUUUAGUGAUAAUGUUAAGAAGUUUGCCCUUAAACUUCUCAGUUUGUGGCCUCACCUUCAUCAUGACAUAGGUGAAACUAUCAAGGACAUUUCUACAGCUAGAUGUCCCACUAAAUAAAAGUAUAGUUAUCAUUAAGAGUAUCACAAACUCAUCCUUCUAAUCGCUAUAGGAUGUCAUGCUUCUGUAAAUGAUUAAAAUGACAUUUCUUAGCUUCAUAGCAUGAUUCCAUAUCACUUCAUGACUUGUUAUUACCUUUUGAACCAAUUUCUCAGGAUCUCUAGUCUAUUGGUUGGGUUACCAUCAUAAGUGACUCAACUAUCUAAAGGCAAUAACCUCAUUCCUUUGGAGGGUUUCCAAACUUUCUCACAAGCUAAUCAUUUCGUCAAAGGAUCAGCAAUAUUAUCCUCGGACUUUACAUGAUCCACUCAAAUAGCCCUAUUAGAGAGAAACCAUCUGAUUGUGCUAUGUUUUCGACGUAUUUGACAUCUUUUACCAUUGAAUAUCGAUUCUUAAUCUUUGCAAUAGUUGCAGUGCAAUCACAAUGAAUGAGAAAUGCUGGUAUAGGUUUUUCCCAUAAUGGAGUGUCGGAUGGUAAAUCUCUAAGCCACCAUGCCUCUUCACUGGCAGUUGCUAAUGCAAUCAUUUCUAGUUCCAUUGUAGAUUGUGCUAAUAUUUUCUGUUUUUUAGACUUCCAUGACACUACAGCUACUGUUAUCUUAAAGAUGUAGCCACUCGUGGCUUUGGAGUUUUUUGGCAGUGUGUUCCAAUUAGCAUCACUAUACCCUUCAAGGACAGCAGGAAAUCUCUCAUAAUUUAAACCAUGAUUAAUGGUCAUCUUGAUGUAACAUCCCACAUCAACCAACGGAGAGAGGGUGAUGUGCCUUAUAUGUACAUACCCACCUCCAUAUAGCACGAGGCCUUUUGGGAGCUCAUUGGCUUCGAGUUCUAUCGGAACUCCAAAGGUAAGCGAGUUCGCACGAGAGCAAUCCCAGGAUGGGUGACCCACUAGGAAGUUCUAGUAUGAUUUCCCAGAAACAAAACCGUAAGGGCGUGGUCGGGGCCCAAAGGGAACAAUAUCGUGCUACAGCAAAGUCAUGCCCGAGAUGUGGUGGAGACAGGGCCUGGAUGUGACAAUUUGGUAUCAAAGCCAAUCCCUGACCAGAAGUGUGCCAACGAGGAUGUUGGGCCCCUAAGAAGGGUGGAUUGUUAGAUCCCACAUCGCCUAGGGGAGUGGAUCCUUUUUGCCUUGUAUGUACAUGCCCACCUCCAUAUCGCACGAGGCCUUUUGGGAGCUCACUGGCUUCAGAUUCCAUCGAAACUCUAAAGUUAAGCGAGUUCGGGCGAGAGCAUUCCUAGGAUGGGUGACCCACUGGGAAGUUCUCAUCUAAGUUCUCAGAAACAAAACCGUGAGGGCGUGGUUGGGGCCCAAAGCAGACAAUAUCAUACUACGGCGGAGCCAAGACUGGGAUGUGGUCGAAUGGUAUCAGAGCCGCUCCGCCGUUCGGUAUGGAUAUGCCGACGAGGAUGUCGAGCCCUUAGGGAGGGUGGAUUGUAACAUCCCACAUCGACCAACGGAGAGGGGGUGAUGUGCCUUAUAUGAACAUGCCCACCUCCAUAUAGCACGAGGCCUUUUAGGAGCUCACUAACUUCAGGUUCUAACGGACAAUAUCGUGCUAUGGCAGAGCCGAGACUGGGAUGUGACAUAAUGGUAUCAGAGCCACUCUGCCGUUUGAUAUGGAUGUGUCGACGAGGACGUUGGGCCCCUAAGGGGGGUGGAUUGUAACAUCCCACAUCGACCAACAGAGAUGGGGUGAUGUGCCUUACAUGUACAUGUCCACUUCGAUAUUGCACGAGGCCUUUUGGGAGCUCACGUGCUUAUCAUUGGGACUGCUUGUAAAUCUGCACAACAUUCCACGACAUAGGCUAUGUCUAGUCUAAUGCAAUCACUAGCAUAACGAAGGCUACCAAUAGUGCUCAUAUAUUCAGGUUAUCUAACACUGUUGCCAGUGUUCUUGAACAAUUUCACACUAGAGUCAUAGGGAGUGCAUGCUGGUUUACAAUCAAAGUAGUUGUACUUCUUUAGAACCUUCUCAAUGUAGUGAGAUUGGUCUAAAUAGAAACCUUUCAUAGACAUAGUAAUCUUGAUCCCAAGGAUUACAUUUGCAUCACCUAGUCUUUCAUAUCAAAGUUAUCACAAAGCAGUUUUAACUUCAUUCACAACAUGCAAAUUGGAUCCAAAUAUCAACAAAUCAUUAACAUACAGACAUAUCAAUGUGCACAGAUUAUUUUCAGACUUUGAAUAGAUACAUUUAUCACUUUCAUUAAUUUUAAAACCUUUAAAGAUAAGUAACCCAUCAAACUUAGCAUGCCAUUGCUUUGGUGCCUGUUUUAAACUAUAGAAAGACUUGUCUAACUUACAUACUUUAUGUUCUUGUUUGGGUAUUACAAAACCUUCAUGUUGUUCCAUAUAUAUCUCUUCUUCUAAGUCACCAUUUAAGAAAGUAGUUUUAACGUCCAUUUGAUGCACAACAAGAUCAUUAAUGGCAGCUAAAGCAAACAAAACUCGAAUUGAAGUUAUUCUCGUGAUUGGUGCAUAAGUAUCAAAGAAAUCAACAUUUUCUCUUUGUCUAAAACGUUUAGCUACUAACCUGGCUUUAAACUUCUCCAUUGUACCAUUGGGGUUUAGCUUUCUUUUUAGCACCCAUUUGCAACCGAUAACCUUGCACCCUGGAGGAAGAUCUACUAAGUGCCAAGUCUUAUUGGAUUCGAGAGAAUCCAUUUCAUCAUUUAUGGCUUCUUGCCAUAAGUCUGCAUCCAACAAGGUCAAUGCUUCUUGAAGAGUUCUUGGAUCUUCUUGCAAAGUAUAAGCAUGAAAGUCUGAACCAAAGUCUUUGGCUACUUUGAUUCUCUUACUUUUCAUUGGCUCAAGGUCAAUUUCAGCCGAAUCAAGUAUAGCAUUUCCAUUAACUCUAGGUGCAUCCAUCAUAAUAGUAUUAGAACCCUUACUAUUUCUUAACUUGAAAGGAAACUUCUCUUCAAAGAAAUCAGCAUCAUUAGAUUCAAUAACAACAUGGUUUUUCAAAUCAUAAAACCUAUAUGCUUUGCUAUUGUAUGCAUAACCAAUGAACACAUUCAAAAGCUCUACUAGCUAGCUUUGAUCUUUUAAGGUUAGGUUUUCUUACAUAGGCCAAACAGCCCCGAGUUCUCAAGUAAGAUACAUUUGGUUUCUUAUUUUUCUAGGUUUCAUAAGGUGGAAUUUUGGUUUUCGAAGAGGGAACCCUAUUGAGUACAUAAUAAACAGUCAAAGUAUUUCACCCCACCAAUAUGAAACACUCCCCGAGUUAAGUAAAAUAGCCACAGUCAGUUCACUAAGUGUUCUAUUUUUUCUCUAAGCUUUGCCGUGUAUUUCUGGGGAAUAAGGAGCAGUGGUUUCAUGUAUUAUUCCUAGUUUCUUACAAAAUUCAGUGAAAGCUCCAGAUUCAUACUCUUGUCCUCUAUCACUUCGCAACCUUUUAAUUUUUCGGUUGAACUGGUUUUCUACUUCACUUAUGAAACAUUUAAACAUGUCUAGGGCUUCACUUUUAUGUUUCAUUAGGUAGACAAACCAAUAGUUUGAAUGAUCAUCUAUGAAAGUUAUGAAGUACCAUUUUCCAUUUCGAGUUACUACACCAUCGAAUUCACAAAUAUCAGAAUGUAUCAGGUCUAGUAAUUCGGUUUUUCUAAGAACUAACCUAUGUGGAGUGAUGCGUAAAAUAUAAGCAGACAAAUUAAACCCUCUUUUUAUCAAAUGUAGUAAAGUAUGUAAGUAGGGAUCGUUCUAGACCGGGGAUUAGGAGGGAUUGCUAAAUCACUUGGAAACUGACUUGAAAACGUAAAAACAAAGUUUAAAACACUAAACUAGACUCAAAGAAUGCAAAACUAUAUUUUAAAAUACUAAGAUAAACAAGAAGACUCAAACAGCACUCAAAACACUUAAAAACAUAAUCUAAGACAAAUUCUAAUUAAUAUGACUCAAAGAAAUAAGAUGGGGUUGAUUUUGGACGAAAAUAAUUAAAUUAAGACAAGAACAAAGUAAACAGAUUCUUAGACAAAUUUGGGUGAAUCAAAACAGAUUGUAAAUGAAUUUGAAUUUAACUUAUGGAUGGAAGGCUAGCUAGGAGGUUCUUCUCCACACAUGUCACACUUGCAUACAAAACGAUUUCCAGUUGCUUUUCGAUAAACUAUGAAUACUCAACGCCCCAAAUUAACCGUGAAUUGCACUAAUUAACCCUCAGUUUUUCCACAAGUUAUUAGGUUGGAUGAUUGCAUACGACAACCCAAAACAUUCCCUACAAGUUCCCUACAUGAAUUGCAUAAUAGAGAUACAAGCAAGAAUCAUUAAGUUCUAUGAAAAACAUAAGCAUUGACGAGGCACUCGUUACUAUGAUUUGCAUGAAACUUAUGCCAAGAAUUUACUUAACGUGAUUGUGACUAGCAACCUUCACUACUUGUGAAUAUAAGUUCAUAACGAUUAGGUGAAACUCCCUUAUAUUCUAGCGUCAAAUUCAUGCAUGAAAAUUAAGCGUGCACUCUCAACCAACAUACACAAAUCAGUUUUUAUACGAAUGGAUAAGUAAAUUGAAUUCACAACUUAUGAAUCACAACUGGAUGUAAUCAAAUCAUAUUGCAAGCAUGAACAUAGUUUCGAAUCACCCCCUAACUAAGAGGGGUUUAGUUCCUCAUACUUACAACGCAAAGAUGCAUAAAUUUAGACAUUAAAAACAAAGAUAGAAAACACCUAGAAACGCUCCAACACUCCCAAGGCUUGGGCAUAGGCACGGCACAAGAUGUUCCUUCUCUUUCCUUCCUUGCAAGCAGCGGCACUAGAGGUUUUGGACGGUUUUUGGUGGUUUUUAUGGUGUAGAAAGGAUGGGGAAUGGUAUGGAAAGGUUUAGGAUUGAUGGGUGGUGUGGCUAGGGGUGGUUUUUGGCUAAAUUUGGAGAGAACAUUUGUUAUGACUUUGAUGAAUAUGGAAGGUGGUAUUUAUAGGCUUGAGAUAGGACCACUCCAUUUCCUUUGCAUGUGAGCUUGUGUGGGUGUGUGUUGGCAUGUUUCCCCUUUACAUUUACACACACAUGCUUCAUCAUUUCAAUCACAAAACACACACAUUUUCUGCCAUGUUUUUCCCUUUACAUUUACACACACAUGCUUCAUCAUUUCAACCACAAAACACACACAAUUCCUUCCACUUUGCCGUGAGUUUUGUAUGUGUAUGCUUCAAUGCUCUUCUCUUUGCCAUGUGUUUGCUUUCUUUGCCAUGUGUUUGCUGCCAUGUUUUCCCCUUUACAUUUACACACACAUGCUUCAUCAUUUCAAUCACAAAACACACACAAUUCCUUCACCUUUGCCAUGAGUUUUGUCUUCACUUUGCAUGUGGGCUUCUUUGCAUGUGUUUUCUCCCUCUCUUGCCUUGAGUUUGCAUGUGGGCUUCUUUGCAUGUGUUUAUCCUUGCAAUUACACACACACACUUGCACACACAUAUGCCCAAAACGUCCAUCCUCAUGCAUGCAAUCCAUUUGAGCCCAAUAUUGAUCCAACAUGCACCAAAAUGCAUUUUUCUUGCCAAGGUUGUUAUGAAGGCCUACAAACAAAUGAAAAUGGCUUUAAACACUAAAAUAACUAUGGAAACACAACGUAAACGCACGAGAACAAGCCAAUUAAGUUGCAUAAAAAUGCUCCUAUCAUGGAGCUUUAGUUAUCUUAGCUUAACUGUAGAACUCACAUUUCUCAAAAUUAUUAAGUGAAAGUUCUGGUAGUAAACCUAAGUUACUCAUUUGUUUUACUAGCCUUUUGUUUACGUGACAAAAUCUUGCAUCCUAAAUAUUAAAUGAACACAACAUGUAAGCAGAAGAAACAAUUUUAUUCAUGGCAUCAGUUGAUGCACAAAACCAGAGAGGUCUUGGAACAAUGUAAAUCCGACCGUGAAUCUGCAAGAAAGUAAAGAACACAAGAUGUAUCGUGGUUCACUCCAAUGUUUGGGCUACGUCCACACUGAUGUUGAUUGUAUUUCUCUGUAAUUGUAUGUAUGGAUUACAAGUGUGAGGGGGAGUCCCCCAGAGAAAUAGAGAGUUUAAGAGAGCUUUGCUCUGAAUAUGAGAGCCUCUAUUUGAGGAUGUGAGGCUUGAGGAUUGUGAGGAUGAAAAGGCCCUUUUAUAGACUAAGGGCUCAUCCCCUUUUACAUAAAUCAUGGGCUCAAUGUCUGGAAGCCCAAGUAACAAGGCUCAAUAUAAUAUGGUACCAACAGUGAUCCCCCAAGUCUUCAGUUAAGAGAGUCUUUUGGCUGGAGACUUGAAAUUCAGACCAUGUGUGGACUGAAGUAACUAGAUGUCGUUUAGAACUAAUACUCGAUAUGAGGCGGGGCUCAAAGUGAAAUAAUGCUCAACUAGAAGUAACACAUGUUGCAAGGUUGCUCGGGUUAUGGCUUAUGUUGCCUUGGUUGGCUUGGCUUGUGGCGUUGAAGGUGAGGGAGUCCAUUUUAUAGAAUAAGGGCUCGCUCUUUAAUACAUAAAUGAUAGGCUAGAGUUGAUGCUCGCGGCGAGGCGGUUGCUCAGCAGGCGGCAAUGCUUUCUAAUGAUGGUGAGAGAGUCCCUUUUAUAGAAUAAGGGCUCGCUCCUUAAUACAUAAGUGAUAGGUUAGAAGUGAUGCUUGUGGCGAGACGGUUGCUCAGCAAGCGGCGAUGCUCUCUAAUGAAGGUGAGGGAUUCCCUUUUAUCGAAUAAGAGUUCGCUUCUCAAUACAUAAGUGAUGGGCUAAGAGUCUCUCUCUAAUGAAGGUGAGGUGUCUCUUUUAUAAAAUAAGGGUUCACUCCUCAAUACAUGAAUAAUGGGUGCUCUCUAAUAAAAGUGAGUGAGUCCCUUUUAUAGAAUAAGGGUUCGCUCUUUAAUACAUAAAUGAUGGGCUAGAGUUGAUGCUCGUGGCGCGGCGAUUGCUCAGCAGACGGCGAUGCUCUCUAAUGAUGGUAAGGGAGUCUCUUUUAUAGAAUAAGGGCUCCCUCCUCAAUACAUAAAUAAUGGGCUAAGUCCCCCAAGUAUUUUUCAUGAGGCCCAGUUGUGGAAGCCCAAUAUAUAAUACAUAGUGUAGUCCCCCAAGUCUUCAGUCAAUAGAGUAUGUUGGCUAAAUACUUCAAAUUCAAUCCAUGUAUGGGCCGAAGUGGCGGUAGUUCGGAGUCGGUCUUUGUAUACCAUGCACUGAAGAUUUGUAGGUGAAGCUUUGAAAGUGAAGCUUUGAAGUUGGAGCUUUUGUAAAUGAAGUUUUUGAAGCUGAUUGACAUGAGUGAUGCUCAUGAAUAUUUAUGUUGAUUAACAUGAGUGAUGCUCAUGGAUGUUGACAUGAAUAUUGACAUGAGUGAUGCUCAUGAAUGUUGACAUGAGUGAUGCUCUUGAAUGUUUAUGUAUGAUUGACAUGAGUGAUGCUUAUGUAUAAUUUUUGGAGUACUGGACGUACUUUUGAUCACCUAUUUGGUGAUAAUAGCGGCAGGGUACCGAAUAAUUUUAGAGUACUGGACGUACUUUUGAUCACCUGGUUGGUGAUAAUAGCGGCGAGCUGCCGAAUAAUUUUGGAGUACAAGACGUACUUUUGAUCACCUGGUUGGUGAUAAUAGAAGCAGACUGUCGAAUAAUUUACUAGACGUACUUUUGAUCACCUAGUGGGUGAUAAUAGCGGCAGGGUACCGAAUAAUUUUAGAGUACUGGACGUACUUUUGAUCACCUGAUUGGUGAUAAUAGCGGCAGACUGCCGAAUAAUUUUGGAGUACUGGACGUACUUUUGAUCACCUGGUUGGUGAUAAUAGAGGGUGAACCUUUAAGUAGAGGGAUGGAGGUUGAAGCCAUAGGGCCUGGCUCUUUUAGGCAUAUGGGUCUUCGCCCUCCACAUAACAUUCCAGCCCAUUAUUUUGGGCUUGCCCUUUUUUUUUUUUUUUUUUUUUUGUGGCAUGCUGCCUUCUUUAUUUAUUUAUGAGCCUCUGUUAAGGUUAUACAGAUGUCUCCAAAAGAUAAGAAAAGUAAAUCACAUCAUUCAAAACAAAGGUUUCGACACAAAAGCUUUGACAGUUGCAGAUCGUUGGUGCGUAAUGGGUUGUUACAGAUCUUUUUCCAUGAGCGUAUUGCUCUUACUGAAUGUUUUACCUUUUCCUUUCUCUUUAUUUUUCUUUCUUUUGGCAGAUGACAGACAAGGGAAUAAUGUCAUUUCCUUGUUUUUGUAGAGGCAGAUCAGGAGAGAUGAGGAUGAGAUAUUCUUCUUUCCUUCUUUUUCCCUUUUUUUUCUACUUUUGCUUUCUUCUUUUGCUUUUGUUUCCCGCUCCAUUUCCAAACAUCCUUUUGGAGGUCAUCAACCCACCUAUGCUUGCAUGCCCCUAAUCCAAACCCUUCAACCCUAGCCCAACACAUCGAGACAUAACUGGCAGUAGGAGAUGGGUGAGGAGAGGUAGAGCGCCUUGUUGAGUCGUUGUAGAGUCAUGUUGAAGGAAAUGUGGACGAGGUUCUGUUCCGACGCGACGUUGGAGCCAGGGAAGUCAAGGAGGGAGUCGACGCAGAGGGAGAGAAAACGCGUCUACGCGUUUGAGAUGGCAUGCGUCUGCUUACAGCGGAGGAUGGAUGAGGCGGCAGGGUUUGAGGCUUUGGAUUUUCAGACGAUGAGUACCACGGCCGAGACGGUGGAGGCGAGGAUGAGUGCCACAGCAAGGAGGAACAUUAGGAUGAGCUUGUUCUUGCGGCUGCGGUCGUUGGAGCAAAAUGAUGAUGUGGCAGUUUGUGGGAGUGAUGAGUUUUCCACCACGUAGAAACUAGGGGAGCCUCUAGGGUCCAACAGCUGGAGUCUACCAUAGCCCAUUUCUCUUUAGGUGCAGAACAUUAAUUCUUCUAGAGAAUUCAUCUAACCAAUCCACAAAACUUUCCUUCUCUGAUGACCCAGAACCAGAAGCAUUCUCCUCACCCUUCUUCUCAACCUUUUUUCUCAUUUUAAUCCCUCUUACAAGACCCAUCAGCGCACAGCCCACAACCACUAAAUCGAAUCAAAACCCAGAAACCCUCCAGCCCCAAACAACAGAAAGAACACAAACCUUUGACAUGUGGGUUUGUGUUUGUUUAGGACAACGUUGCAACACGAGAGAGAGACAUGGGCAUUGCUGCUUUUACUGUUGGCUGCUGAGAGAUCUCGGCCGUUGGUGAGUUGGACGGAGCUUUAUGAAUUAGGGAGGAGAUCUACGGUAGGGAAGUAGGCGGAAGGGCAGAAGGAGCGGUUUAAAAGGCUGGUGAAGAAGAAGGUGGUGGCGACCAAGAGGAGGACUCCGAUCUGGUACGUGCGGGUGUAGAGAGGCUGCUGGUGGUACUGCACACUGAAUGGUCGGUGACAAUAAAUUACGCUUCCCAUUUUCAGGGUGUGGAAAAGAGUAUCUAUCUUCAAGAUCUAGGAAAAUGGUCAUCUCAUGAUGCAAUUGGAAAAGUCUUGGACAUGACCUGACCAUCUUUGAGAUAUGGGUUGCAGAGAAUCUAUGGCUUCUGAGAAAGGGCAAAAAGUAGUCUAUAUUUAGAGACAUGAAAAGACGCGGUGGUAGCUGUGUUGUUGAGAGAGAGAUGGAAACUGCAAUUUCAGAGAAGGUGCAGAUGACGGAGAGAGAGAAAUGGAAAUGGCGGAGAGCUGGAGGUUUCCGAGAUGGCUGACAAACAUGGUGUGAUAGGAGCAUAUUUAUACGACUUAGUUAGCUUGUUUUCUUGCUUUUAAUUAGCUAAACUAUGAUAAUUAUAGUGUUUAAAGUUAUUUUCGUGCAAUUUCAGGUUUUAGUGUCAAAGUAUGCAAAAAGAAGCAAUUUGGAACAUUCUAGAGCAUUUUUGGGCCAAGAUUGGAUUGUGCAAGCAUGGAGGCAUGAGGAUGGACGAAUUUGAAGACAAAAGAGGCUAUGAACAUGCUAAAAAUCUGGUGAAACAAAUAUAAGUUGCAAGAAGGGAUAAAUUUCUAGAAGGAUUGACCAAAACUUCACUCAAAACCAAGAAAUUCUUCAAUGCCGUGGGCAUUGAUUCACUUUCACCAGAAAUUUGAGUGAUGAUGCAAUGCUUAAAUCACCAUGACAUGUGAGUGGAUGAUGCAAUGCUUAACUCACCAUGACAUGUGAAUGGAUGACUCAAUACCUAACCCACAAACAAUUCCCACUCUUUGCCAUGCUCACCUACUCAAUUCCACCAAAAUUUUGUGUUAAACAAAUCCAUCCUUUUCCUAUAAAUACCAUGGCAACAACCUCAUUCAAAUCAUCCAGAAAUUAACCAUUCUCCAAGCCUUUCCUUGCCUCUCCUACAUAUCUAAACCCCUUCCCAUCCAUUCCUCCAAAUAACCAACCCUUCAACAUCAUUCCAACCUUGUUGUUGCGGCAAGGAGAAGGAGAAAAGUCCUUGGACGCGCUUGCUAUCCAACAUGGAUCAUUGGAACGUUUAGGUGCUUUCUUCCCUUUGUUUUUCAAUGGUUAAAUUUGUUUAUCUUUGUUUUGUAAUAAUGAGGAACUAAACCCCCCUUGGCUAGGGGGGAUUCGAAACCAUGUUAAUGCUUGCAAUAUGAUUUGAUUACUUUUAAUUGCGUUUCAUAAGUUAUGAAUUCGAUUUACUUAUCUAUUUGAUUGAUAACAUGUUUAUGUAUGUCGAUUAAGAAUGCAUACUUAAUUUACAUGCAUGAAUUUGAUGCUAGAAUAUAAGUGAAUUUCACCUAAUCGUUAUGAACUUAUAUUCACAAGUAGUGAAGGUUGUUAUCCACAAUCGUGUUAAGUGAAUUCUAGGCUGGAUUAACAUGCGUAUUCUAUAGUUAUGAAUGCCUAGUCAAUGUUUAUGAUUUCCGUUGAACUUAAUGAUCUUUGUUGAAUGUCUCUAUCAUGCGUAUUCCAUAGUUAGGGACUUUGAUGAGGAAUAAUUUGGUUGUAAUGCGUAUUCCAUUCAAUCCAAUGAAUCUAGGGAAAUCUAAGAGUUAAUUUAAGCGGACCUAAUUAACUUGGAACAUUGUCAUUCACAAUUUAUUGAAAGAACAACUGAAAAUCAAUUUAGGUUGCAUAUGUGUCAUGUGUGGAGAAGAACCCUCUAGCUAGUCCGUCACCUAUCCUUUCACCUUAAUUUCAUGCUUUUGUCAACUCUGUAAUUUAUUUAAGUUUAAUUUACUUCUCGUCAAAACCAAACCCCCCCAUUAUUAAAUUAUAUUAUUUAGUUAGUUUUCAUUGUUGUUAGUCUUUUAAUUCAAUUUCCGUCCAUUUCAGUUCCUAGUGUCUAAUUUGAUUGUUUUCAUUAUUUUGAGUCAUUCUAAGUGUGUUUCAAGUUAUUAGAGUUUUUAGCCUAGUUUUGUGUCCUUGAGUCUUAUUUAAUAUUUUUAAUAGAUUAGCAAUCCCUCCUAAUCCCCGGCCUAGAACGAUACCCUACUUACAUCUAUACUACAAUUGUCAAAAAGAGGGUUUAAUUUGUGUGUCAAAUAAUUCUCACAUCAAAUUUUGGCGCCGUUGCCGGGGAUUAGCAACUUUUCUAAUCCCCCAUUGUUUCUUUUUAUUUCUUUUUCGUGUCUUUUGUUUUAGUUACUGACUUUGUUUCUUUUCUUGUCUUAUGUUUUUAGUUUCUGUUUUUGUUUUGUUUUGUUUAUUUUACUUUUGAUAUUUGAUUUAGUUUUCUUUCUUUGAUUUUAGGUACUAGAGAAGUAAGACAUGGAUUUUGCUAGCAUUCAAGCUCAAUUGGCAAAUCUUACUUCUCAAAUGUCGCAGUAUGCCGAAAGGACCACAAUGCAAAAUGUCCCUAUAUUUGGUGCAUCUUAUAGGCAAGGAUAUCAAGCCAAUCAAUGUUCACAAAAAGAUUGGAGUGAUCAUUCAAACUCUAUGUGGUGGGAAGCUCAACAAGUUCAACAUGAAGGAUAUUGGCAACCAUAUGAGGAGUUCUAUUCAGGACCUAUGCAGCCACUACAACCUCAUAUACAAUAUGCCCAAUCAAACUCAGAUUCGUCAAUAGAUUACAAUCAAAUUUUUGAUGAAUUAAAUUCUUUGGUGCAGGGCUCACAAAAUCAAGCCAAGGAGGCUCAACAAGAUGGAUAUUGGCAGCAAUCUGAGGAGUUUUAUUUAACGCCUAUGCAUCCACCACCGCAUACCCCACAACAAUUCCAAUCAAAUUCAAGUAUGUCCAUGGAUAGUGAUCAAAUUCUUCAAGUACUAAUCUCUUUGACGCAGGACCAACAAAAUCAAGACAAGAAGUUGGAUAAAUUGAUGAGUCAAAUGGGAGAGAUUAUGGAAUUCAUGGUACAAAUUCAAGAGCAAAGUGAACUCUCCAGCUCAACUGUUGAAAAUUCGAAGGAAGAUUUUGAAAUCCACGAUGCUAUCACUUUGGAAGGUGACAUGAAGGAUGAAGCUGUCCCAGAACUAUCCAAACACAGCCCGAACAUGGAUGAAUUGCUGCUGCAAGCAGAAGAGGAGGAGGACGACCUGGGCAGUUUAGAAGAAUUCUUGCUGCAAGCUCCUCAAAUCCCUAUGUCAUCCAACUCAUGUGAGGAAGUUCUAAAUUCACUUCAUUCUAACAUUAUUCCACUGAACGUCCUUUAUCCUUGCAGGUUUUUUAUUCCAAAUAUCAAAGAGAGUGAAAAAGACAUUGUGGAAGCUCUUCCAAAGGUGCAAAGUGAUAUCCCAAUUCUUGGUGCACCAAAACAAGUUCCCGAUGGUAUUGAAACGUUCAAAGAACCUUGCACACCAAGAAAAGGGAUUCAAGAAAAUGAAGUGGUUGAAGCAUAUCAAGAAUACAUCCAAGAGGCUGUGCAUGAGACAAUCAAGCCCAAAGCAGUUGAGUUUGAUGACACGGGAUAAGCCACAACCAUCAUAGUAAACCUGGCCAAGUUCAAAGUCCCGGAAAUGUUCAAAAAUGUGGUGUUUGUCAUUGAGUUUGUGUCGGAAAAAGAAAGUAAGCCAUCUUCUCCAAUUUUAAUUUUAAUUUAUACUAACAUGUUUCUGAUUUUGAUGAUUCAGGCACCCACUCUUGAAUUUAAACCAUUGCCGAAUCAUUUCAAGUAUCACCUCCCAUUAAAAGAUAAAUUCCAUGCAUUGGAGCCGAGGGGAGUUUAAAGGAAAGAUUCGUCCGGCUAAAGACGUUAAAUCAAGCGCUUCUUAGGAGGCAACACAAGCAUUCAACGAAGGGAGACUUUGGAAUCGCUAGCCAAAUCAGAUUGCAUUCUUACACCCUUAUCUUUACUGCUUUCAUUUUGUUUUGUUCAGUUAGUUGUGUUAUUUGGUUGAUUUCUGUGAGUUUGUGUUAUUUAGUUUAAGUGUGGGGGCAGGUUAAACAAAGUCUUUUUACAUUAAUUUACAUAUUUAAUAAAAAUAAAUAAAUAAAUAAAAUAAAAUAAAAUAAAAACACUUAAAAAAAAAAACAUAAAAGUAAAAAUAUUUUACAAUGAUGUGUAAACUAAUAGCAUUCAUUGGUCAGGUGGUGCUUCAGUAGUCGGCGGAGCUUCAGCAGUCGGUGGGACCACGGAAGGAGGAGGUAUCGGAGGUUGAUCAGUUGGAGCUUCACUACGCGGUGCUGCCCCAGAAGACGAAGGCAGAUGCGGUUGGAACAAACCCACAAACCUUCGGUGAUCAAGUAAAAUCUGACCAUCAUUUUCCUGCAGCUGGUUAAUUUUCCUCUUCAUGUUUGUGGCAUAACUGUGUGCAAGCUUAUGCAAUUGUUUAUUUUCAUGCUUGAGUCCUUUAAUCUCCUCUUUGAGACUCUGUAUUUCAGCCACCAACGAUUCAACGUGACGGGUUCGAGCAAAUAGGCGUUGGGCCAUGUUGGACACAGAACCCGCACACUGCACGCUAAGAGCCAGAGACUCCUUAACCGCCAAUUCAUCAGACCGUCUAGCGAGCAGUCUGUUAUCUCUGGGGGUGACAAGGUUCCGGGCCACCACCGCAGCUGUCAUUUCAUUUUUCAUCACCGAAUCCCCCACGGUAAGGGGACCGGUAGGGGAUAUGAAGGAUGGGCGCCAUAUGUUGUCUGGUGAAGGCGGAGCUGCCUCUUCACCAAUGUUCAAGUCAAAACGACGAUCGGAAGGGCCAGACAUUUUUCAGAAUGGUAAAGAAAGAAGAGAUCGGACAGAUUAAGAUUUUGGAAGUGCAAGAAGGGAGUGUUUACAGGAGAGAGCUCAAGUGUGUUGUGGAACAAAAUUAACGCCUCUAUAAAAAGAAGAAAUCAAAGAGGCGCUCCUCAGAAAUCGAAGAAGCGUCAUUUCGCAAAUCGAAGAGUCGGGGCUCCUUUCUCAAAAGUCGGAUUCUUUUCUCAAAAGAGGCGUUUCAUUUCUUAAAGGCUGGGCUUGCUUAGAAACCACGAGCCGAACCCCGGAUUUCAAAAGAUCAAUUUGUCCAGACGUGUUGUCACUCGUCACAUGCAACUGGCAGCUUUGCGGAAAUUACGGGCAGCUUUGUCAGAAAGCGCAUAAUAUGUACUAUUCAUUCAUCCACCGGCUGCCGACAAUGAGUGAGAGAAUAGUUCCGGUUGUGAAGAAAAGUCCCAUAAGUAUCUACCUUCGCCUUCCCACAGCAAAGGCACACCCUUUCAACACUUCUUCAUCUCCGAGAAUGUAUUCCCAAAGAAACCUUUCAAGUCACUCUGUAUUUUUCAUCCCUUGGGGUACCUCUGCAAACAACCCAUCCAAAGCAAAAGUAUUUCAUAUCAUGAAGGUUGAAAGCAAGAGUAUCUCAUAUCAUGCUUUCUCCCUGUCCUUUCUCCAGCCAGCUCUUGCUCUCGAGUACUCAUCAUCUUAUGCUUUCUCUUUGUUUCUCACUUAUAAGGGAAGUGAAGAUGAUACCUCGAAGCAUGUGGAGACAACGUGCUGAUUCAUCCUCAACUAAGGACAAGGAGAAAGAGAGCAAGAGGUGGGCACUUGGAAAGAUUGAAGAAAGAAACAGACCAACACCUCUCACUCGUGCCUGCCCGUCGUGCAGAAGAAACAAGCAGAGAAGAAUGCAGCUUGCACAAUCAUCCCAGCAGAAGGAGUCUGAGAUGAAGAACUAGAGAAGCUGCCACAUCUGCUUGGAGAACAAAUAAGGAACUGCAACAUCACCAAAGAGCAAAGCUUCGCCGUACAAUAUCAUCAAAUCAUCACUUGCAAGUAAAAAGCUAAGUGUCACCCCCGUUCAAGAGGAAAGCUGUGGAAAGUCAACAAGCACGACCAAUGAUCACUUAUUAGUUCUAUUCAUUGUCUUUUAUCGUGAUUUUCAAUUUUUCGUUUGCAAUUUUUUUUACAUUUUCUUGCCUUACUUAACUGAAUUAUUUCUUUUCUUUGCAGGAAUUUUUGGUUAUUUCCACCCUUGAAGUUGAUUGCAGAAUUUUAGCUUGGGGGGUCAUCGCUUGGUUUUACUGCAAACUAGGGAAGUUUUCAGUCCAAUUGCUUUAUUUUGUUUCUUAUUAUUUAUUUAUUUUAUUUUUAUUUGCAUUAUAGUGUUUUCUGACAUUGGGGACAAUGUCCAGUUUAAGUUUGGGGGUAAAGAGUAUAAAAAUGACCAAAUUGAAAUUUUUUUUUUUUUGUACCUUCAACUACGAACGAGUUUCAUUUGUUUCCAUGUUGUUGCUUUUUGUUUUCUUAAUUAGUUUUGUUUUCUUUAAAAAAAAAAAUUUAAAAAAAAAUCGGAAAUUUUAAAAAAAAUCCAAAAAUAUUGUCUUGUUUCCCUUAUUGUUUUGAAUUAGAUUUUUGUUAGUUUCCCGACCCAAUGAUAUAAUUGGAUCAAAUUUGAACCAUGAUCAUCAAGAACUUAGUUAACAUGUGUUUUGUGAAAUUCCUAAUUCUCUUGUUAGUUUUGUACAUGUUUGACCAUCUUUGAAAAACCAAAUGCACAUAGCCUUGUUAAUGUGAAACUAAAGUAUGACUUAAAGCUUCAUAUGUGAAUUUAGUGACCAUAUACAUCCUAUGUGAGUUUUUGAGCCGAUUGAAAGUGUGUGCAUUUUUCAUACACUCCUAUUCUUUCAUGUGUGAUGAACUUAUGUGAGAUACAUCUCUAGAACUUGCGUAACGAUCUUUCGAAAUGUUUGUCAUUGAUUGCAUGAAUUUGGAAAUGAUAGAGGCAUUAGGUUUACCACUAUGGCCCAAAUAACCAUGUUUCCCAAAGAAAAAUGAUAUAAUUAGAUUGCCAAUUUGAGCCGUGUACGUUGAGCCUUUUAUUUCUUAUCACCAGAUAUGUCUACCCUUAUACCUGAAACAUUUUUCCUUACCCUUUCCAAGCGAGCAAUGCGAGAUUGUCUUAUGAGAAAUGUUUGUGAAGUACUUUGAAGGUGUUUGGCAAAAGAAUAAAUGUGGGGGUGUUUCAUGUUUGUAUUUAAAAAAAAAAAAAAAAAAGAGAAAAAAAAAAAGAAAAGAAAAAGAAAGAUUGUAUACAAAGAAAAUAAAAAGUUUUUCAAGUUUCAGUUAAGGGUGUGGUUGGAGGUGCUAGAAGAAUCGCUGGAAAGAUGGAAAGAUUGAGUUCUUAUAAAUCUAAACAAAAGAAUUGCUUGCAAUGUAGCUUGGAACUUGUGUUUUCCUAUUCUUUCGUUUCAAUAACCCUAUCCCUAAGCCUCAUUACAUCCAAUAAAAGUCCUCUUGAUUUAAGUUUUGCAAUUAUGACUGUGGAGAAGUGAUCUUUAUGCAAGCUUAUGGUAGAAAUUCACAUUUGAUUCUUUGAGCGAAACACAUUUAAACUAAACACAUGUGUGAUUGAGUGUAUAUCCCGUGAGAAGGUUGCUAGUUUUCAUAUGAUGAUUUUAAAAAUAAAAAAAUAAAAAAAAAUUUUGAAAUUGCAUUAGCAUGGCUAUCUCACACACUACACUUCAAGGAUGAUUUAAAGAUUACUGCUAAUAUUUGAAUAAGGAAGAUGAACUUGGAUUAGCUUGUUUGGUGCUAGCUAUGAUUCUUGUUGAUUUGUGUUCUCAAAUGAAAUUCUAUGAGGGUCACAUAGGGGGAAGCUAAUGUUUUUCUUGUUACUACUUGUUCUUGUUUUCUUUGUUUUGCUCGAGGACUAGCAAAAGCUAAGUGUGGGGGAAAUUGAUAGGAGUAUAUUUAUACGACUUAGUUAGCUUGUUUUCUUGCUUUUAAUUAGCUAAACUAUGAUAAUUAUAGUGUUUAAAGUUAUUUUCGUGCAAUUUCAGGUUUUAGUGUCAAAGUAUGCAAAAAGAAGCAAUUUGGAACAUUCUAGAGCAUUUUUGGGCCAAGAUUGGAUUGUGCAAGCAUGGAGGCAUGAGGAUGGACGAAUUUGAAGACAAAAGAGGCUAUGAACAUGCUAAAAAUCUGGUGAAACAAAUAUAAGUUGCAAGAAGGGAUAAAUUUCUAGAAGGAUUGACCAAAACUUCACUCAAAACCAAGAAAUUCUUCAAUGCCGUGGGCAUUGAUUCACUUUCACCAGAAAUUUGAGUGAUGAUGCAAUGCUUAAAUCACCAUGACAUGUGAGUGGAUGAUGCAAUGCUUAACUCACCAUGACAUGUGAAUGGAUGACUCAAUACCUAACCCACCAACAAUUCCCACUCUUUGCCAUGCUCACCUACUCAAUUCCACCAAAAUUUUGUGUUAAACAAAUCCAUCCUUUUCCUAUAAAUACCAUGGCAGCAACCUCAUUCAAAUCAUCCAGAAAUUAACCAUUCUCCAAGCCUUCCCUUGCCUCUCCCUACAUAUCUAAACCUUCCCCAUCCAUUCCUCCAUAUAACCAACCAUUCAACCACCAUAACCACCUUGUGCCGCCACCAUUGAAGGAGAGGAGGAGUAGUGCCGUGCUUAUGCAAUCUGCAACUAUUAGAGUGUUUGGAAUUCUUUCUUCUUUUAAUUCUAUGUUCAUGUUUAAUUUAACUUGCUGUUCAAUUAUGUUAAACAUGUGGAACUAAUUUCUUUUUGGCUAGAGGUUAAUUCAAAGCCAUGAAUAUAUUUGUAAUAUGAAUUGAUUACCUUCAGUUGUGAUUUCUGAGUUGUGAUUUAAUUUGCUUAACUGCUUGAUUGAUAACUUAUUUUUGUAUGUCGAUUAAGAAUGCAUACUUAAUUUACAUGCAUGAAUUUGAUGCUAGAAUAUAAGUGAAUUUCACCUAAUCGUUAUGAACUUAUAUUCACAAGUAGUGAAGGUUGUUAUCCACAAUCGUGUUAAGUGAAUUCUAGGCUGGAUUAACAUGCGUAUUCCAUAGUUAUGAAUGCCUAGUCAAUGUUUAUGAUUUCCGUUGAACUUAAUGAUCUUUGUUGAAUGUCUCUAUCAUGCGUAUUCCAUAGUUAGGGACUUUGAUGAGGAAUAAUUUGGUUGUAAUGCGUAUUCCAUUCAAUCCAAUGAAUCUAGGGAAAUCUAAGAGUUAAUUUAAGCGGACCUAAUUAACUUGGAACAUUGUCAUUCACAAUUUAUUGAAAGAACAACUGAAAAUCAAUUUAGGUUGCAUAUGUGUCAUGUGUGGAGAAGAACCCUCUAGCUAGUCCGUCACAUAUCCUUUCACCUUAAUUUCAUGCUUUUGUCAACUCUGUAAUUUAUUUAAAUUUAAUUUACUUCUCGUCAAAACCAAACCCCCCCAUUAUUAAAUUAUAUUAUUUAGUUAGUUUUCAUUGUUGUUAGUCUUUUAAUUCAAUUUCCGUCCAUUUCAGUUCCUAGUGUCUAAUUUGAUUGUUUUCAUUAUUUUGAGUCAUUCUAAGUGUGUUUCAAGUUAUUAGAGUUUUUAGCCUAGUUUUGUGUCCUUGAGUCUUAUUUAAUAUUUUUAAUAGAUUAGCAAUCCCUCCUAAUCCCCGGCCUAGAACGAUACCCUACUUACAUCUAUACUACAAUUGUCAAAAAGAGGGUUUAAUUUGUGUGUCAAGUAAUUCUCACAUUAUGGUGGUAGCUGUGUUGUUGCCAAAGUUGCAGAUGAUAGUCAAGGCAAUGGGUCUUUGUCUCUGUCUUUAAAUUAGGCAGUUUUUUGGGAGAAAAAUAGGGCGGAAGAUUCGAGAAAGAGAAAAAUGGGUUUUUGGAUGGUUUUUUAAAACUGCACAGAGUCUGCGAAGGUUUUCUGGAAAAGCCCAAAGAGUGAGGUUUUCUAGGUUUUUGGGUUUCUGCAGUUUCCCGGUGGUGAGAUGAAAAAAAUGAAAGAGAACCGACAUAGUUUUUCGUGUCGAUUUCCCACAGACAACGCCAAAUGUUGAUGCACAAAACCGUAGGGGUCUUGGAACGUAAAUCCGACCGUGAAUCUGCAAGAAAGUAAAGAACACAAGAUGUAUCGUGGUUCACCCCAAUGUUUGGGCUAUGUCCACACUGAUGUUGAUUGUAUUUCUCUGUAAGGGGGAAUCCCCCAGAGAAAAAGAGAGUUUGAGAGAGCUUUGCUCUGAAUAUAAGAGCCUCUAUUUGGGGAUGUGAGGCUUGAGGAUUGUGAGGGUGAGGAUGCCCUUUUAUAGACUAAGGGCUCCUCCCCAUUUACAUGAAUCAUGGGCUCAAUGUCAGGAAGCCCAAGUAACGAGGUCCAAUAUAAUAUGGUACCAAUAGCAUCAAUAUUCAAUUUGAACAUCCCAUCAAUGGCAUACUCAUUUCCCACAAAAACAUCAUUCUUUGUGAGAGUAUACAUAUCAGCCCCAAUAGUUUGAGUGAAUCUAGCAUUGUUGAUUAGAUAACCUGAAACCAGGUUCUUUCUUAUUUCUGGAACAUGCAGUACAUCUUUUAGAAUGACAGUCUUCCUCGAGGUGAAUUUUAGCUCUACUUCACCAGUUCCAGCAACAUUCGUUGAGUGAGAGUCUCCCAACAAAACCCUUAUGUCCUCAGCUUCAGAAUAGGACUUAAAAAGUCUGCGAUCAUGGCAGACAUGGCGCGAAGCUUCAGUGUCUACCCACCACCCCUCGGAUCCGUCAACUAUGUUAACCUCUGAUAUCAUAGCAAUGAGUUGAUCCUCAGUCAGAUUAGCUUGAUGAGUAAUCCGACGUUUGUUGUGACAGUUCCUAGCCAAGUGCCCAGGUUUGUCACAGUUGUAGCACAAAAAAUGGCACAACGGCUUCAUCUCAUGAGGGGGUACCUUCCUAUUCUAACUUUGCUGAGGAUUUUGGAAGUUUGGUCGAUUUUUGUUGUUGUUGCGAUUCUUGGUGGAAUUCUUUAUAUUCUUACCCAUGGGUUUGAGCACUACUGCUGCAUAAGUCCUCGAAUGAGUCUUCUUGAGAUUGUUGUUGUUUGAAACAACCAGCACUUCCUCCCUCAUAUCUUGUUUCCUGGCUUCUUCCUCGAUUUGAAGGCGAGUGAUUAGGCUUUCCAGUGAGAAUUCCUUUGUCUUGUGCCACAGAUCCUUCUUGAACUCCUUCCAACUUGGUGAGAGCUUGUCUAUGAUCACAGCAACCUGCAACUGUUCAUCCAGAUUCAUGCCCUCAUUGAUGAUCUCAUGAGCAAUCUUUUGCAGUUCGUGUGAUUGCACUUCCAUUGAUUUGUCAUCCAUCAUUUGAAACUUCAUGUAGCGGCUGACUACAAAUUUCUUUGCUCCUGCUUCUUCAGUGUCGUACUUUUUCUAGAGAGCAUCAUAUAGUUCUUUAGCUAUCUUACGAGAAUAGUAGUAAUCAUAUAGGUCAUCACAUAAUCCAUUCAAGACAUAAUAUUUACAGAGAAAGUCAAUAUUAGUCUAGGAUUGAAACAACUUGAACUGUUCAGCAGUGGGUUGAUCAAGAUGUGAUGGCGUUUCAGACAUGCAGUGGGUGGCAAGUUUCUUGGUGGUUAGAAAAAAUAACAUCUUUUGCCUCCAACGUUUGAAGUAGAUUCCUUCAAACUUGAUAGGUUUGUUCAGAUCAUUAGUAAAAGUGUUGUUUUCAUUCUCCAUUGCAGAAAUUGAACGUCUUAAAAUUGUUAGAGUUGCUACACAAUAAAACAGGAACAAUAUUACCGGAGUAUGAAGAACAUAAAAUGAAAAUCUGUCUUGGGUUGAGUCGUAGACAAUGUCACUUUCUUUAAGACGUUUCGCGGCUCUGCCCAAUGUGUGUAAGCAGUUCAAAUAACACCACAUCAUCCCCAGGAUAAAACAGCCCAAAAUCUCUCUGUCUAGACCUUCCUUUGCACUGAGGAAGAUCCGAAAACACUCACCCUCUAGUUGCUCAGAAUACUCAGUGUUAUUAGCUAGGUUUUUUUCAGUUUUUUUUUUUUUUUUUGUGUGUCGACUAAAGAGAGGUCCUCAAAUUUAUAUAGAAAAACCAAAGUUUAACGUUGAAGAGGUUGAGGGAAAGGUGGCCUAAGAAUACAACAACAACAACAACAAAGCCUUUUCCCACUAAGUAGGGUCGGCUAUAUGAAUCCUAGAACGCCAUUGCGCUCGGUUUUGUGUCAUGUCCUCCGUUAGAUCCAAGUACUCUAAGUCUUUUCUUAGAGUUUCUUCCAAAGUUUUCCUAGGUCUUCCUCUACCUCUUCAGCCCUGAACCUGUUUCCCGUAGUCACAUCUUCGAACCGGAGCGUCAAUAGGCCUUCUUUGCACAUGUCCAAAUCACCGGAACCGAUUUUCUCUCAUCUUUCCUUCAAUUUUGGCUACUCCUACUUUACCUCGGAUAUCCUCAUUCCCAAUCUUAUCCUUUCUCGUAUGCCCACACAUCCCACGAAGCAUCCUCAUCUCCGCUACACCCAUUUUGUGUACGUGUUGAUGCUUCACCGCCCAACAUUCUGUGCCAUACAACAUCGUUGGCCUUAUUGUCGUCCUAUAAAAUUUUCCCUUGAGCUUCAGUGGCCUACGACGGUCACACAACACGCCGGAUGCACUCUUACACUUCAUCCAUCCAGCUUGUAUUCUAUGGUUGAGAUCUCCAUCUAAUUCUCCGUUCUCUUGCAAGGUAGAUCCUAGGUAGCGAAAACGGUCGCUUUUUGUGAUCUUCGCUAGAUUGCUCCGGUCAUUAGUGUGGAUAAGUAUAUAAAUGGAUAGAGAUAGGAAAGCAAACACAAGAUGUACGUGGUUCACCUAGAUUGGCUACGUCCACGGAAUAGAGGAGUUCUCAUUAAUUGUGAAGGGUUUACACAAGUACAUAGGUUCAAACUCUCCUUUAGUGAGUACAAGUGAAUGAUUUAGUACAAAUGACAUUAGGAAAUAUUGUGGGAGAAUGAUCUCGUAAUCACGAAACUUCUAAGUAUCGGAGUGUGGUAUCGUCUUGAUUUGCCUUAUCUGUCUCAUAGGUAGAUGUGGCAUCUUCUUUGGAAGUACUCUUCCUCCAUCCAGGGGUGGUAUCUUUAACUGGUGGAGAUGCACAAGGUAAUGUAUCAAUUUCACUUGAAGCUUACUUGUAGUUUCAGGCUUGGUCAAGCGCGAUACAAACCAUGUAGUAGGAGUCCCCCAAGUCGCCGAGCUAGGGGAUCUGCUGAAAGAGUUGACAGACAAGGUAAGCAAUCAGAGCUCCGGCUGAUUGUUCACAUUCUCCCUAUCUUGCAGGCAGCAUGAAGGAUAAAGAGAAGAAAAAUGAGAAGAGAUGAUAUGGGAUACUUUUGCUUUUGAAGAAGUAACUUUCCACAGGCUUAUUCAUAAACUGAGCUGGAAGGUUUUCUGGUUUCCUCCAGAGUAUAAGGCCGACUGAAAAAUUUGAGGGUCAAAACAAGUCCAUCAAAUCUAAAGUACGUUCGACCCUGCUGAUAUGGGAUACUUUUGCUUUUGACAGAAUAGUGGAUGUAUCGGCACGUGUGCUGUUACGCUUGUCUCCACAUGCUUCCUUGUAUCCUUCUCACUUGCCCUAUCUGUUCCUCAGGCAGAUGCGGUAUCUUCCCUGGAAGCAUAAGAUGUUGAAAAUGAGUACUCGAGAGCAAUGCCAGGUAAGUAAUCAGGUAAGGGGUUCCAGGCAGUCAGUUCCUGGCUGUAAGCUUGAUUCCAAGUGCUGACUGAUUGCUCUUUUUCUCCUUGUCUUGCAGGUAAGAACAAGGCCAAAGGAAAAGACAGGGAAAAAACAUGAUAUGGGAUACUCUUGCUUUUAACCCUGAUGAUAUGAGAUAUUCUUGCUCUAGUAUAGCUUGUUUGCAGAGGUAUUAUCGGGGGGAAAGAAAGCUGAAUAUUUCGAAAGGCUUCGUUGGGAGUGCCCUCUCAGAUAUGAGGAAGGGUUGAGCAUUUUUGCAGGUCUGCCUGUUCGUUGGGGAUGGAGGUCUACAUAUAUAGGAGUCUCCCUAACAACAAGUAGUAAUGUUAUUCCUUUACCCUGCUUGGUCAUAGCACGGUAGUGGGAGCUGCCAACUUCACAUGUUUUAACUCUGUCAGAACACUUUGAAAAAGUGGUAUGUGGUAUCUGGAAAGCUGAUGUUGCGUAUGAAGAUUACAGACAAGCUUUAUCCAAGGAGAUCCGGCUUUUGAAGUUGGGAAAAUGGUGCCUCUUCGGUUUUCGAACAAGCAAUCCUAUCGGGGAUCUGGCUCUCGAGAUUCAGAGAACGAUGCCUCUUCGAUUUUUUAGAAAGCAAUCAUGCUGGGGGUCUGGCUCUCGAGAUUCGGAGAGCGGUGUCUCUUCGAUUUUUGAGAAAGUAAUCAUGUUGGGAGUCUGGCUCUCGAGAUUCGGAGGGCGAUGCCUCUUCGCUUUUGGAGCAAGCAAUCUUGUUGGGAGUGUUUUCUCGAAUGUGAGUAAAGGUUGGGCAUGUUUGCUAGUCUACCUUGCCACGAAGCACAGAGGUUGACAAACAGGGACUUUCCAAUUAUCCAGCAAUGGUACUGUUCCUUUACCCUCUCUUCGAUUUUUGAGAAGGUAGUCAUGUUGGGAGUUUGGCUCUCGAGAUUCGGAGGACGGUGCCUCUUCGAUUUUGGAGCAAGCAAUCUUGUUGGGAGUGUUUUCUCGAACGUGAGUAAAGGUUGGGCAUGUUUGCUAGUCUACCUUGCCACGAAGCACAGAGGUUGACACACAGGGACUUUCCAAUUAUCCAGCAGUGGUACUGUUCCUUUACCCUUGUGGGUAAUAAUAUGGUAGCUAGACCUUCAAAAUUUAUGUGUCUAAACUUUGUUAGUGUUGUUUCUUUGUUAUUCUUUUACCCUUCUUGGUCAGAGCGAUGUAGUGGGAGCUGCAAGCUUCACGUGACUCAACUUUGGCAGAGAACUUUGGCAAAGUUAUCUGUGGUACCCAUGAGCUACUGUUGCGCGUGGGUUGAACAGUAAGAUUCAUGUGCUUUCUACUUCACCAGUAGUCUUCGACAGAAUGCCCAUAAUUUCCGCAAAGCUGAGUAUGCGUGUGACAGGUGCUGACAAGGCUGGAAAAGUAGGUGCCUCUUCGAUUUCUGAGAUCGGCCCUCGUGGUCUCUGAGCAGCCCAGCUUUUGAGAAAGCAAGCGCCUCUUCGAUUUCUGAGAUCGGUCUUCGUGGUCUUUAAACAGCCCAGCUUUUGAGAAAGCAAACGCCUCUUCGAUUUCUGAGAUCGACCCUCGUGGUCUCUGAGCAGCCCAGCUUUUGAGAAAGCAAACGCCUCUUCGAUUUCUGAGCAGACGCCUCUUUGAUUUCUGAAGCUCCGUCGAGUGCAGAUUUUUAUAAGGGCUGGCAUUAAGUUCCAAAGCACACUUGAAUCUCCACCAGUAGAAGCUCCAUUCUUGCACUUCUAAGAUCUUGAUUUGUCCGACCUCUUCUCUCUUCAACACCUUUGAAAAUGUCUGGCCCCUCCGACCGUCGUUUUGACUUGAACCUUAUUGAAGAGGCAGCCCUGCCUUCUCCAGACAACAUAUGGCGCCCAUCCUUCGUCUCCCCUAUUGGUCCUCUUACCGUUGGGGAUUCCGUGAUGAAGAAUGAUAUGACCGCUGCGGUGGUGGCCAAGAACCUUCUCACUCCCAAAGAUAACAGACUACUUUCUAAACGGUCUGAUGAGUUAGCUGUUAAGGAUUCUUUGGUUCUCAGUGUUCAGUGUGCAGGUUCUGUGUCUAAUAUGGCCCAACGCCUAUUUGCUCGAACCCGCCAAGUUGAAUCAUUGGCGGCUGAAGUGAUGAGUCUCAAACAGGAGAUUAGAGGGCUCAAGCAUGAGAAUAAACAGUUGCACCGGCUCGCACAUGACUAUGCUACAAACAUGAAAAGGAAGCUUGACCAGAUGAAGGAAUCUGAUGGUCAGGUUUUACUUGAUCAUCAGAGAUUUGUGGGUUUGUUCCAAAGGCAUUUAUUGCCUUCGUCUUCUGGGGCUGUACCGCGUAAUGAAGCUCCAAAUGAUCAAUCUCUGAUGCCUCCUCCUUCUAGGGUUCUGUCCAGUACUGAGGCUCCGAAUGAUCCCCCUCCGGUGCCUUCUCUUUCUGGGGCUCUACCGACUGCUGAGACUUCUCCUAAGCAACCUUUGUGAAAGCUCCCUCUUGUUUGUUUAUUUUGACUCAUGUAUAUGUACAUAUUUGUAACUUAUCGGGGAUAUCAAUAAAUAAGCUUUCCUUCAUUUCAACGUAUUGUGUUAAAUACACCAAAGCCUUCUUUGCUAAGUUCUUUGAAUUUUCUUUUAUUGAAGCUUGUAUGUUGAAGCUUUGUGAGUGGAGCAUGUAGGUUGAGGUAGUGUUCCCUUAAUUUCUUGAGUGAGGAAAACUUCUCGGUUGGAGACUUGGAAAAUCCAAGUCACUGUGUGGGAUCGGCUAUAUGAAUCUUAGAACACCAUUGUGCUCGAUCCUGUGUCAUGUCCUUCAUUAGAUCCAAGUACUCUAAGUCUUUUCUUAGAGUCUCUUCCAAAGUUUUCCUAGGUCUUCCUCUACCCCUUCGGCCCUAAACCUCUGUCCCAUAGUCGCAUCUUCUAAUCGGAGCGUCAGUAAAGGUGGCCUAAGAAUCAGGCCAAAAAAUCUGGAAGUGAUCACCUAGUUGAGGAAGACUAGGUCUUUUCCUUUAUCUUCAAAACCAAAAUCUAUUUGAUAAAAUACAAGUGGUCAACCAUCAAAAUAAGAAGGCUAGUUCCUGAAUAAAACGAUAACUAUGGUUUUAAAAUAAACACAAAGUUUCAACACUUAUGUACACUGUGUUCUUCUCUCUUGCAAGCAAUCACAUCCACGGGAUCAUUCCAGAAUCAGUAUGCAAGGCGACAUCUCUUCAUGUUCUUGAUAUGUCCAAUAAUUCCUUUAGUGGCAUGAUUCCCCAGUGCUUAACUGCAAGGAACAGGUCUCUUGCAGUAAUUAAUUUAAGGAGAAACAAACUUUCUCGCACUCUUCCUGAUAAUUUUCCUCAGCACUGUAGUCUACGAAGUUUAGACCUCCAUGGCAAUGUGAUUGGUGGUCAGUUCCCAAAAUCUCUAGCCAAUUGCACAAUGUUAGAGGUGUUAAACCUGGGAAACAAUCAGAUAACAAAUGUCUUUCCGUGCUUAUUGAUGAACAUAUCCAGCUUGCGUGUACUUGUCUUGCGUUCCAACAAAUUUCAUGAUCGCAUUGAAUGCCUCAGCCUCAAGACCAAUGGUCAUUGGCCAAAGCUUCCAGUUAUUGACAUAGCUCACAACAAUUUUAGUGGUGAACUACCAGGAAGAUGCUGGAGAACCUGGCUAGCAAUGAUGGCUGACGAAGAUGAUGCCGAGUUUAAAAUUGCCUACGACAUCUUGAGUCCUUGGACCUUUCGGACAACAGAUUGAGCGGAACAAUUCCAGCAGAGUUUUCCAAACUUAAUUUCCUCUCGUUCCUGGAUCUCUCAAACAAUCAACUAGUUGGGAAGAUUCCAACCGGCACUCAGAUUCAGUCUUUUUCAGCAGAUUCUUUCGCAGGCAAUAAAGGAUUAUACCUGCCACUGUUGAAUUUUUGAUGUGUAUUUCAUAUCAAAACAAUUACAAGAUGAAACAUUAUAUAGGAAAAGAAAGAGAACAUAAGCCUAACUUGCCUAACUUGCCUAACUUGCCUAAUUUCCUAACUUGCCUAACUUGCCUAAUUUACACAAAGAAGGUUGACUAGCCUAACUUCACUAGUCAUCCAACAUGUUUAUUUCAUGCAUGCAUUUUAACAAAAGAUAUGACUUGCAUGCAUUCCAACACUCCCCCUCAAGCUGGAUCGAGGGGAUUCCUUGAGCCAAGCUUGGACAGAAUGCGCAUGAACUGAACCGUAGGAAGAGGUUUAGUAAAAAUAACGCUUUGCUUCUUGCUGCGCCAUGUUACCAAAUUCCCACUUGAAAUGGCUUCGUGCCGCAAACAAACAGUAAUGGCUUCGUGCCGCAAACAAACAAACUUGAAAUGGCUUCGUGCCGUAAACAAACAGUAAUGGCUUCGUGCCGCAAACUUGAACAACGUUAGGUAGAGCUAAAGCAUCCAUCGAGCUCUCAGCUUCAUAAUGUUCUCCAGCCAUCUUGGCUUAGAGUAAAUGUUCUCCAACCAUCUUGGCUUAGAGUAAAUGUUCUCCAGCCAUCUUAGCUUAGAGUAAAAGUUCUCCAACCAUCUUGGCUUAGAGUAAAAGUUCUCCAGCCAUCUUGGCUUAGAGUAAAAGAAACUUAGCGGAAACGAUCAACAGAGCAUCCAUCGAGAACUCAGCUUCAUAAUGUUCUCCAGCCAUCUUGGCUUAGAGUAAAAGAAACUUAGCGGAAACGAUCAAUAGAGCCAGGAAUUUCGAGUUCCUGCUCUGAUACCAUGUUGAAUUUUUGAUGUGUAUUUCAUAUCAAAACAAUUACAAGAUGAAACAUUAUAUAGGAAAAGAAAGAGAACAUAAGCCUAACUUGCCUAACUUGCCUAACUUGCCUAAUUUCCUAACUUGCCUAACUUGCCUAAUUUACACAAAGAAGGUUGACUAGCCUAACUUCACUAGUCAUCCAACAUGUUUAUUUCAUGCAUGCAUUUUAACAAAAGAUAUGACUUGCAUGCAUUCCAACCGCCACCAUUAGAUGACGGAUCAGCAAGGUUGUCACCAAAAUUAGAAGGCAAACAAAUUCUGCGCAAGGAAUUGAUUGGGAUCUGAUAUGUGUUGAAAUUGGAUUUAUUGUUGGCUUUGGAAUAGCUAGUGGAUCAAUUUUGUUUUGCAAGAGAUGGAGUAAAUGGUAUUACAAAACUAUGUAUCACAUUCACGUUAAGAUAUUCCCUCAGAUGGAGGAAAGAUUUGGCCCUCAUCGAAGACAUGCUCACAUACACCAAAGGUGGACGCGUUGAAACGAUUUUGAAGAACAAUACAAGUGCUUGCAGUCACGUUUUCUCUUGAACUGUUUUGUAUUCUGAGUUGUAAAGCUCCAACAGAUGGGAUUGAACCCCGUCGAAAGAAACGGUUCGUGGCACAAGCUUUGUAAGCCUCCUCUGCUAGAGUCUACUUGUCGGUUAGUUCCUUACUUGGCUAGUUGUUGACAGUAUAUUUCGUCUGUGUUUAUUAAGUGUUUGUGCUAUUUUACCAAAGAAAUAUCUCAAAAACUUAGCUCUCAUACUUUCAAACAUAUUAUAUAAUAAUGAGCAAUAAUUUCAACCCUUUUACUAUUAUUUAAUAAUUAUGGUGUUUUUUUUUUCUUCAUAUGUUUAAUCUUUACUGCAGCCUCCUUCCUUGUUACUGAGAUCAAUAUAUCUUAAUCGAGAUUUAUAUCUUAUGUACAAAUUAAUUCAAAAUCAGAACAGUCAUAGGUUUGAAAUUUUCAAUGAGAAUGACAGAAUGAAAACAUCACAAAUAAAUUUCAUGGAUAAGGUUUGACUAGCAAAACAAAAUAAUAAUAAUAGAAAAUAAAAGUUUGAUAGCAUUUCUUACAUAAGAGAUGUUGGUACUUUUUUUUUUUUUUUUGAACAAAUGCAUUUUUAAUUUUAAAUAAACUAAUUAUUUGUUAGUAAGAAAUUAAGAUGGAGUCUUUUAGCCUUCUUCUUAUGUAGCUAUUGUAACUCUUUUUUUGUUAAUUUGUUAUUACCCUAUUCACCACACUAUGUUUGGAUAAGAGAAAUCAACUUGAAAUUUCAACAAAACUCAUAAUUUAGAAAUUAAUACGAACCAAUUAUAUUGUUUGGAUUCGUAAACAUAGAAAUUUAGAAUUUCCGUGUAGAAUAAAAACUUGGAAUUUGAGACCUCUAAUUUCCAAGUUUAAAUUCCUUAUAAAUGUGUCAUUCCAAAUUUCUACAAGUGAAAGGUUAAAUAAAAGUUUAUGUCUUUGUUCUAUUAGGUUAACCAAACAAAAAAAUUGACAAUUCAAGAAAAUAAAAUUUCGUCAUUUUUAUUUCCGUUUAAAAUUCUUUAGUAAUUUUAAAUUUUUUCAUCCAAACCGUCCCUAAAGGUGAUAAUAACCCUAUAAUUAUUAGCAUUUUCUCCAUCAUCAUUUUAUUCAUUAUUAACUACCCAAUCUUUUCUGUAAGUAUUAUUCUCUCCAUUUGCUUCAUCUUUUCUAUUUUUACUUAUUGGCUAAAGAAGGGUGUUCGUGUGGUGGAUCUUUGGACUUUUUACAUUUGUUCUAAGACAUGUUUACAUGAUUUUCAAGCUUUCUGUUAAUUAACAAUCGGUGUUUGUGGCAAACGAAACAUCUGUUCCUCUUGAGGGUAAUGACAAGAUUAAAUUCUUUAACUCCGAUAUCGAGUCCCCUGUACUUUACAUCUCUGCAUUUUCAAAUCAAUUGUUAUUAGUGGGAAAGAUAGCUAGAAUGUUAAACUGUUUUGCAUUUAUCCCAUUUGUUAUUAGUAGAACCCAUGUAUCUGAAUGUGGGUAUCACUCAGUUUCUGUAAGCUUUAGCCCCGUUGUAGGGCCAAAUUUUACCCUCUCUUCUCCACUCAAGAUUCAGUCAACAUUGAAUAAAAUAGCCUACAUUUAAAACCCCACAAGGGAUAUGGGGAAAGACUUUGAAGUCAACAAGUCAAGCAAACCACAACCAACUAACCAGUCACUUGCCCUUUCAACACUUUGAUUUUUCUCUUGCCCGUUCAACAUUUUGAUGCCUUUUUUAUUUCAACCCAUGAAUAUAUGCCAACAACUAAGACCAAAUUGGUGUUUGGUUCACACACCAUUACACAUUCUUCAGAUGCAUGCGUAAUCAUUCCCACCAAAAAACAAAUUAAAUUUACAAAGAAGAAUAACUAGGGACCUGCCUAAUCUGUUCCUUCCUUACAUUUGGUGUCACAUAUCAGCAACAACUUCCGAUGAAAACUCCUCUGCUUUCAUGGCUUUUCUUACUCCGCAUUUGCUAUGUUUCACUCACCUUCCAUACGCUUGUGGUCUCUACCCAAUGUCCCGGCGAUCAGCAAUCUUUGUUGCUAAAAUUGAAGAACACCCUCGCAUUUAACCAUACAGCGUCUAAAAAACUUGUGAAGUGGAAGAAUGGAUCGGAUUACUGCUCUUGGGAAGGAGUGUCCUGCAAAAAGGGUUGUGUUUCGAAUCUGGACUUGAGCAGCGAGGCGAUUACUGGUGGACUUGAUAAUUCCAGUUCUCUUUUCGGUCUGAAGUCAAUCGAGAACCUGAAUUUGGCUUACAACAACUUCAAAUACACUCAGAUUCCUACCGAGUUCAAGCAGCUAACGGGUUUGACCAAUCUGAACUUGUCGAAUGCUGGCUUUGCGGGGCAGGUUCCGAUUGAGAUUUCACACCUUACGAGGUUGGUAACUCUUGAUUUGUCUACCUUAUAUUUCCCCGGAUUUCCUUCACUGAAUCUUGAGAAGCCGAAUUUGAAUGUGCUCAUUCGGAACUUUUCUGAGCUUCUUGAACUUUAUCUUGAUGGAGUGAAUAUAUCAGCACAGGGGAAUGAGUGGUGCCAAGCUAUAUCAUCUUCACUGCCAAAAUUGAGGGCGUUGAGCUUGUCCAAUUGUAAUCUUUCAGGCCCUAUUGAUAGUUCAUUACUGAAGCUUCACUCACUCUCGGUUAUUCGUUUAGAUUACAAUGAUUUCUUUAUUCAAGUUCCAGAGUUCUUCUCAAAGUUCCCAAAUUUGACUUCCUUGCACCUACGUGGUUCUUGCUUAUAUACAUGUUCUAGCUUAUAUGACAGAGGUUCUUGCUUAUAUGGUACAUGUGCUGGCUUAUAUGGUACAUUCCCAGAGAAGAUCUUCCAGGUACCUACACUACAGACUAUUGAUUUGUCAGGCAAUCAACAGCUUCAGGGUUCCUUACCAGAAUUUCCAAAGAAUGCAUCUCUUCGGUCCUUGGUUUUAAGCGGAGCUAACUUUUCAGGGUUACUACCAAACUCUAUUGGCAACCUCAAAAUGUUGUCCGAGAUAGAUAUUUCGUGGUGCAGUUUCACUGGAUCAAUCCCAAGGUCAAUAGAAGACCUUCAUCAAUUGGUUUAUUUUGACAUGUCAGUCAACAAGUUCAAUGGUUCAGUUCCAUCCUUCAGUUUGGCCAAGAAUCUGAUCAUGAUAAAUCUUUUUCACAAUCAACUAACGGGUCAGAUUAAUUCCACUCACUGGCAAAACCUUACUAAUCUGAUGUAUCUCGACUUGAGAUCCAAUCAAUUAGAUGGGACUGUUCCACUAUCUCUUUUUUCUCUUCCCUUGCUGCAAAAGCUACAGAUUUCCAAGAAUCACUUCUCUGGUCAGUUGCCUGAAUUUGCUAAUAACUCUGUACUGGACACCCUUGAUUUAAAUAGCAACAAUUUGGAAGGCCCAAUUCCCAUGUCCAUUUCUAAUCUCCGAGGGCUAAAGAUUAUUUCACUUUCUUCAAACAACUUCAGUGGGUCGUUUCCUCUCAGUGCUCUUCGACAGAUAAGAAAUCUUUCGAGUCUUGAUCUGUCAUACAACAGCUUGUUGAUUACUUCUGCUGAUAUUAAUUCCUCUUAUUCUUCCUUUCCUCAACUUACCACAUUGAAAUUGUCUUCUACAAAGUUGAGAGAAUUUCCGCAUUUCUUGAGAAAUCAAUCAAAUUUAGGCACUUUGGACCUAUCACAAAACCAGAUUCAUGGUGAGAUACCCAACUGGAUUUGGAGGCUCAUUAAUCUUUCUGAACUAAAUCUUUCUUGCAACUCCUUAGUAACACUAGAAGGUCCUUUACUUGGAUAUCCUCCUUCUCUGUCUAUGCUUGACCUUCAUUCCAACCAGCUUAAGGGACAAAUUCCAAUGCUUCCACAAUUGGCCACUUAUCUAGAUUACUCAAGAAAUAAUUUCAGCUCAAGCAUUCCGGCUGACAUUGGUGAUUUCCUUAUGUACACUGUGUUCUUCUCUCUUGCAAGCAACAAGUUAAAUGGAAGCAUUCCAGAAUCAAUGUGCAAGGCACCAUAUCUUCAACUUCUUGAUCUGUCCAGUAAUUCCUUAAGUGGCAUGAUUCCCCAGUGCUUAAUUGCAGGAAGCAGUUAUAUUGGAGUACUUAAUUUAAGGACCAACAACCUUACUGGUGCUAUUCCUGAUAAAUUUCCUCCAUCCUGUAGUUUGCAAACGGUAGACCUGAAUGGAAAUCAGAUAGGAGGCCAAUUUCCAGAAUCUCUAGGCAACUGCAACCAGCUAGAGGUGUUGAACCUUGGAAACAAUCAGAUCACUGGUACUUUUCCACGCUCUUUAAACAAAAUGCCCCUAUUACGUGUCCUUGUUUUUCGAUCAAACAAAUUUUAUGGGCGCAUUAGAUGUCCUAAGACCUAUGGCAGCUGGCCAAAGCUUCAAAUUAUUGACCUAGCACACAACAAUUUCAGUGGUCAUAUACUCGGAAGAUGCUUGAAAACCUGGCAGGCGAUGAUUGCCGACGAAGGUGCUGGCCUGUCACAACUCGACCACAUCAAAUUUCAGGUCCUAUCAUCACUCUCUCAGAUAUAUUACGACGAUAAAGUAUUUGUUACCACCAAAGGUCUAGAGAUGGAGCUGGUGAAGAUUUUGACUAUCUUCACCUCAAUUGACUUA
rnacentral:lncRNA from 1 species